UCCAACAAAAUGACCUACUAUCAAGCUAUAAGCCUGAAAAGGAUAAAUAAUGAGAUGGUGAGUUCAACAACUCAGUGAGUAGAUAACGUUCAAUAUACACACACGAGGUAAUACAGCAAUGAGAAAUAUAUAUACAAGUAUGGCUCUAGGUUCUUAUAGAAAGGUUUUUCAAAUAGGCCAUAACAAGAAUAUCAUAUGGUAAAGCUCGUCAGAAAAUCAAAAUGCAAUGAGCAUGAGGCUCCGUACUGUGGGAUGAUCAGUCCACACAGGUUGGUGACUCCCCCGACCAACUAGGGUUCAGAUACGAUGUGCACAAAGACUAACACUACCCUGUUAGCAUGGGUAUUCUGACUGACAUACCAUAGGUUCAUAAUCAUAAUCAUAAUCAAACAGACAUAUUCAUAUCUCAAGGCUCAACUCAUGACAUCAAUCAAAUGAGGAGCUAUCAAUUCAGAAUUCAAUUCAAAAUAUAUACUGGUUCAUAUCAAGAAUUCGGAUUCAACAAUUGAUCAUGCUUUAUCAAAACAAGGAUAAUAAUCAACAUAUAUAUUAUCAAGAAGCAUGAUUCAAUUCAUAUUAACAAAUCAAAUAUUUAUACUAUUUCUCAUGCAUAUGGAAAAUUAUCCACUCACCUGACUCAAAAGCAAACAGAAGCCAAAAGCAGACACCGAAGAAAAUCCUACUGACGUCCUGUCGGUAGAAUAUCAGGAUUAUCUGAAUACAAAGGAGACAUAUUCAAGAACGACUCAAAAGAACAUUUAACCUAUUUAAUAAACUUAACUAAUGAUGUAUUCCGUAACCCUAUAUGUUUUUGAACUAACUAGUCAAUUUUCUCAAAAACCCAAAAUUUAACGGUUUUCCCGAAAUCCAAUCCAUAAUAAAAACAACUAAUAAAAUUGAUAAUAAUUUACUAAAUAACCCUUAUUAUUCAUCAAACUAAUCUGAAAAGGCUAAUAUUACAGCUAGGGACCAAUCUGUAAUUUAUCCUAUUUUAAGGGUCAAAUUGCAAUUUUUGUCCAAUUGGAGGACCAAACUGAAAUUUAUCAUAAAUCCAUGAAUAUACUGAAAUUCUGACCAUAAUUAGUCCUCAUUUCUGUCCAGAUCAUCUCAUUAUACUCCAAGGACCAUUCUGGAAUUUUACCAAAUUUUUAGGGUCAAAUUGUAAUUUUUGUCAAAUUGAAGGACUAAAUUGAAAGUGUUAAAUUCUCUUAUCUAUACAGUAAUUCUGUCCAUAAUUCAUAUGUUAUUCUGUUCAGAAUCUCGGAAUAUGCUCCAGGGACCAAUCUGCAAAUUUUCCAAAGUUUGGGGACUAAACUGUAAUUUUCCAAAAUUGAGGGACCAAACCGAAAUUUUGUCAUCUUCAACCUCCAACCCAGAAUUUUUAACAGAAACCUACUGUUCUUGCUAAAUUUCUAACUCAACAUUCACCAUUUACACAAUUCAUAACUCAAAAUCAUCACAAUCUUCCAUAAUCAACUAAAUCAUCAAUUAACCACAACAAUCAACCCCUAACAUUCAAUUUAAUUCAUCAAUUAAACUCAAAACACAAAUUUCAUAACCCUAACAUUCAUCAAAAUCGAAAUUAAAGCUUAAUUAACACAUAUUUAUACAUAAUCUUACCUUUAAACUUAUUUCCUUCAACUCCUUUCUAAUUUCCCUCUUUUCUCUUCUUCUUCUUUCUCCCUUCUCUCUCCUGCCGAUUCUCUCUCAAAUUUUCAGAUCCCUCUUUUGUUUUUUUUUUCUUCUAUUUAUAUAUAUUAUGUUUAUCUAAUUACCACACUACCCCUCAUACAUUUAUACCCACACUUUAAGCCACCAAGGGCUUUGUUGUAUUUUCCUACUCAUUUAUUCAAAACAUCACAACCUGCCUCUCCACAAUGUGAGCAAUAAGGGCGUCCUCUGCCUGAACCAGAAUGACGCCUGUCUUGAUGAAAUCGGCUGCCCCCAGUGAAAUUUUCUUUUGAUCGGGGAUCUGGCACUCCAUAUGAGUGGUCAAAUCGGUCGGAUCUUGCCGACCCUCCAUUGAAAUUUCCAGUGGGUCUAUGGUUGCUGUUUCGAACUGCCAUGGCAGCGCUUGUUCCAGAAUCACUUACUGUGUGUGUCGAGCUUAGAAGACGCUGUUUUUCUUCUUGAGAGAUGGAGGAAUAUGCUUGGCGAACUGAAGGAAGGGGAUUCAUGAGGAGGAUCUGCCCGCGAACAGCACUGUAAGAAUCAUUUAAUCCCAUUAAAAACUGCAUCAAUUUUUGUUGGUCUUGUUGUUGUCCAUGUGUGGUGUCAUUAUAGGACGCCAGUUCAUCCCAUAGGCCUUUCAAUUUUGUGUAAUAUGCAGAAACAGAGAGUUGCUCUUGUCGAAGACAGGCAAUAUCUCGUUGGAUUUCGAAGAUACGGGGUGCGUUGCUUUGGGAGAAUCGUUCACGAAGGUCUUCCCAAACCUCAUGAGCAGUAGAGUAAUAGAUUACACUAUCUGAAAUUUCUAGACUAAGAGUAUUAACGAUCCAGGAGUGAACCAUGUCAUUGCACCUAGACCAGGUUGCGUAUUCUUCUUGAUCAAUUUCUUUUGAGGGGAUUUUGAUUGAACCAUCGACAAAACCAAGUUUGUUUUUAGAAUUCAAGGCCAGAGUCAUGGCCCUUUUCCAAGUAGAAUAAUUGUCUCCAUUCAAAGGUUUUGGAAUUAAGAUCAUUCCUGGAUGAUCAGAAUGAUGAGUGAGGAAAGGGCUUGAGAGAUUUGCCUUUGAAACAUCCAUGGAAGAGUUUAGGAUGUGAUAGUGGAUCGGGAAUUUUUUCUGUCAAGCUCUGAUACCAUGUAAAACUUAAGAGACAAAGAGAAUUGAAUCUGCUUGAACGAUAUUAUUGAUCUCUGUAUCUUUACAUGUAUUUAUAGAAGCAGGAUUCCUUAUACAAGCAGGAUUCCUUACACAGGUAGGAUUCUAGGCUUUCCUUCCUAUUAGGAAUCAAUUACUACAUUGUAAGUUAUCGUUACAAUAGGAAAGUAAAUAUGUACAGAUUGUGGAAUUACUAACAAGGACACAGAAAAUGCUCAUCAUUUUACUCUCCUUUGAUUCAAGUGAGAUGUAAUAGAUCAAUAAGUUCAACUGGCAUAAGUUUAAUUUCUAACAUAAUUAAUGUAACUAUAUAUUCACCCAGGAUUUCUUUCACCCAACAUACAAAGGUUUUGCUAACUAUAUAUUCACAAGUAGUUGACUCUUACAAAUCUGAUGCACCACACGCGGCAAACAUCGAUCGCAAGAAAAUAUUCCAACACCCAGUACUGAAGCAACUUCUCAUCUUUCCCAGCUAAACAAUGCUCAUCAUGGUUCUAGACUCAAGAUAAUGAAAGCUCUUCUUCCUUCAAGGAUGGUGGAAACUCGUCCUGGCUUGCUUCCUCAAAACUAGCUGAAGUGGAUUCUGCUUCAGCAUUGGGGUUUAAACCAGCAAGAUGCAAGAUAUUCUCAAUCUCUUUCACCACUUCACCCAUUGUUGGCCUGUCACUUCCUUUCUCUUGUACACAUUUCAUUGCCAGAUCCACUGUCUUAUCUAGACCUUCCGGCUUCGUGUCUAAACCAAUGCUUGGGUCAAGAAGUUCAUGAAGGCUAUAUAGAUCUUUUUUUCUAUCCAAUGAGCUACUUACCUCCGCUACAAGGUAUUUCCCUCGCUCUAAAGGCUUUCUUCCACUUACUAGUUCCAGCAACACAACUCCAAAGCCAUAGACAUCACUCUUCUCAGUCAAGAGCAGGGUCUCCUGAUAUUCUGGAUCUAUAUAACCCUAAGCAGAAAAUAUAGUAAUCUUGUCAAUUGUAACCUUUGAUAUAUAUUAAUUGGCUUUAAUCAUAGACCAGCAGGCGACCUGCAUUUAAUGAAACUAGAUAGUCUUAAAUUAAUGAUGUUUUGGAGGUACUGACCCUUGUCCCUUUAACUUGAGUGGUAGCAAGAAUAAGCUCACUAUUGUCCAUGGGCUUGGAAAGACCAAAAUCAGCAACUUUAGCAUUUAAGCUUUCAUCCAGUAAUAUGUUAGCUGAUUUUACGUCCCUGUGGAUAAUACGAGGCUUGACAAGCUCGUGCAAGUAGGCAAGACCUCUUGCUGCACCAAGAGCCACAUUAAGUCUCCUCCUCCAAUCCAGCCAGAUCCCGCUCAAACCUGCUUACAUGAGAAGAGGAUAUAUAAUUGUGUAGACUUACUACAACUAUAGAAUGCGUGUGCUUAUUUUCGGAACAAAGGCACCAAAGGGUUGUCUCCAUUGGAUGCAAGAGUUGUCAUGAAAAACUCAAUGCUUGUAAGAUUGAAAGGUUCCAUGCGAUUCAUGAAGCAUCUUGUUGAAUCAUUUAUAGGUGCCAGUGUAAUACCUGAUAGGCUGUCCCUGAGACUACCAUUGCGAACAAACUCAUAAAUUAGCAUCUGUUCACCUCUCUCAAAGCAAAACCCAACAAGGUUUACAACAUUUUUAUGAUGAACUCUCGAUAAAACUUCUAUCUCUGCGUUGAAUUCAAGCCCACCUUGCACCGAUCCUUGUCGACAUCGUUUGAUGGCAAUCAGUUGUCCAGUAGGAAGCAUCCCUCUAUAAACCUGUACACAAAAAUGUUGAAAGACUCAAGUAUUGUGUUGCUGAAAAAACACCAUGCCAGCUCAGAAGUUAGAUAGUUUGAAGGCAAAUUGCAACCAGCAACACCCACAAUCAUUGUUUAUGCAAAUGAAACCACCAAGGCAGGACAGGAAAAGAGGGAGAGACUUGCCAUUCCGUAACCCCCUGAACCAAUAUGAUUGGCUUCCGAGAAAUUAUUGGUGCUCUUCGUAAUCUCAUCGAAAAAGAAGCAUCUGGCUCCCUUCAACUGAGGAACUCUGUCACUUUUCUUUAAAUCCAAGUAUGCUGCAAUUUGGCAAAAUAAAGAAAAAGAAAUAAACCCGCAAUUUUCGAUGAUGAACGGGAAAAUAUCAGGUCUAAAAACUAGAACUUUAAAGUACCAAAAUGAUUCUUCUGUUCACUUGCUCUUUCUCUUCUUUUUUUCAGACGAUAAGCGUAUACCCCUGCAAGAAGCAAUAGUAGCAGGAAAGAGGCUCCUCCAGCCGCAGCCCCAAUGAUACUUCCAGUGCUCCAUAACUUGUUUGAUACCGUGAGUUUUCCUGCAUGAAAAAGAGGGAGGGAGGGAGAGGGAUGGGUCAUCAGAAGAAAGAAAGAUCAAUGUAAACAAAAAUCUCUCACUUGUGCAUGAAAUGUGAAAUUACCAUCGAAGUAUGGGUAUGCAGCACCCUUAAAAUGUGAAGGUCCAAAGAUAUCUGGAUUUUCAAUAGUCUGAAGGUUUAGCACAGAUCCAAUUUCAGAAAUCGUAGUUGUGUUAAAGUGAUUUUGGCCCGAAGGAAACACAGAUACGUUCGAUUCAAGAUACCCCAACGAAUCAUUUGUUGGACAAUUUACAUAAACUGAAUCCACAGGAAGCCUAGAGUUCUUAAAGGAAUGCAUCAGAGACUCUUCUACCAGACAUCGAUAAGAAGUUGCGUUUCUUGACUCUAAAAAUGGAGGUCUGAAGAAUAGUACUCCUGUGUACGGAUAAGAGAAUUUGCUGUUGGGACUGGAAAUCUGAUCUGAAGUGCAGGGGAGGAGAAACGAAGAAUUGGCUUGAUGAACUGUGCAGUAAUGUUCUGUUGCUUCUGUACGCUCACAAACUGGGUUACCCACAAGUCUGCAAAAUUUAACACAUAAAACACUCUUACGCAGGCAAGUAGCAUAGCACAUCUCCUCAGGAUUUAACUUUUCACACUACUAACAUGACAAGGUUUCAGUCAGAUCUUCAGACUUUUGAAUGAUCUGUGUAAUUUUACAAUAUCUGAGAGGGACCGUUGUAAUUCAUCCCACAAUAAGAAGAAGAAGAAGAAUGCCUCUUACAUUACAUCCACGUUAUUCCUUUGUUCUGGUGUUUCUGAAUAGAAUGAAAUGAGAUUGUUUCGCAUAUCAAUGGCUUCCAGCUGGCUGCUAGAGCUUCUUGCAAUAUCCAAUGUGCCAUUGAGCUGGUUGUUCCUUAGAAUCCUGUAACCAUUUGUGAAUUUAGAUAUCCAUCAGUUUCCAUGAGAUGAAAGAAUCUAUCAAUAUCCAUGAAGUUGAUUGCUAUGGUACUAAAGAAACAAGUGGAAGGAUACUCACAAAGUCUGUAAACUAGGAAGAUCGAAGAGGGUAGGAGGAAUCUGACCUUCAAGUCCAGUGUUUUCCAUCAUUCUGUUAUUCACAGGAAGGGAAGAAGGCUUCACUAUGUUGACAGCGUGAAAAAUCAUAAAUUGUAAACUUUUAUACACAGGAAUGCAUAGUCAAUAAGAGGUUCCAUGGACAAAAAUGUCUCUGUCAAAAAACCAACGACUGCUUCAUAUAACACUUACUAAACAUGGAGACAAUUAUAAUCUAGCAUGUAAAGAUGAUGCCUGAGCAAAAUUUUAAGGGCUAAUUGCAAAGUGGGAUGGUGGAAAGGGUUUGUGAUUCUUGAAAGAAAACAGUCUAGUUAAGGCUUCAUUGAGUUGGUCGAGUGUGUGUGAUGACAGAGAGAAAAGGAGGGAGGAAGGGAGACAUACAGUGUUGUCAAAGCCCGUAAGUUUGAGAAUGACGACGGAUUUUGGUCAAAGUAGGAAUUUGGAGAAAAGUUGAAUUGUAUUUCAUACUGAGAUACCUAACAACGUUAAUAGACUGGAAAUCUUACAAGUAGCUGAGAUAAGCCAUGCCAGUGAGAUUAGGAACAGGCCCAGUAAAUUUAUUGUUGGACAAAAUCCUGAAAUUUAUCAGCAAAAACACUCUUAACAGAGUGAGAAUUCGCACAAAAGACUUAACAAACUAGCCAAACCAUUGUGAUAUCUUUACUGGCAAUGUCGUUUUCUGUAUACUUACAACGUCUUCACAGUGGUAAGAUUGUUGAGGUUUGGAGGGACAGGUCCAGUUAAUGAAUUCCCUUCAAAACGUCUGCAACAAAGAUAAGGCAUUCAAUACAAACUAGAUCAGUGUAGAAUCACUUCAGUUUGUCAUGUAGAUGCUUACAUAGCCUCCAAAGUCUGCACAAGUCCAAGGGUAGAAGGAAUGCUUCCCGUGAGAUUAUUGUCAUGCAAAAGCCUGCACAGAAGUAAUGUAUAUGAUGUAUAUAGGUGGUUCUAAUUGAUCAGAUAUGGAUUUAUUAAAAUUGUAAACCUUUUAAAGAAAUAUUGUUUUCUUUUAAAUUAAAUUAAAAUUCCACUUCCUAUUUUCUCCCCUAUUCCAUUGGUGAAGUAGUUUGACUUCAACAUCCAAAGCAUUUACAAACUUACACAUGAAUGAGAGUCAUGUCUGAUCUGAAAAGUUCUUUCGGGAUUGUGCCUGAGAGCCGAUUCCUUCCUAGAUGACUGAAUAAUUUUCAGACCAGCAUAAACAGAUGUCAAUAAAGCCGAAGCAAGAGAGCACAAAUCAGCUGGACAAAUACAAGGAAAUUUGACAUACAAGUGUUUUGUAUUAACUAGCAUAUUAAGACCAGAUGUAGUUCCACUGGAGACAGGGAUGGCUCCAUCGAGCUGAUUAUAAGAUAGAUCCAGCAAAAAGAGUUUCGAAAGGUUUCCAAUUGAAUGUGGAAUUUGUCCAGUGAAUCUAUUAGAAUUCAGGUCUCUGCGGGAAAUAGCAAUAGAGAGUCUCAGAAAUGUUGCCAAUAGAGCACAUGUUUAGUCCACAAGAAAACAAUAAAACACUUACAGAGACUCCAGCAGCUGAAGAGACCCUAUCAACUCAGGGAUAGGGCCAUAGAAACUACAACCAACCAACUUUCUAGAAUGGAAGAAAAGAAAAUUCUGUCUGUUAAUUAGAGGACUGGUGUCAGUUAAUACUAACAUCAUAUUAUUCCCUUACAAGUUUUUUAGCUUCUUCAAAUUCACAAUUGAUGCCGGAAGUGUACCGCUCAAACCCGUGUUGUACGAUAGAUCCCUAUAACCAGACACUGUUAAUGAGCAAGGAAUCCUUGGAAUGGAAAACAAUCACUAUGUUCAUAUAUCAAGAAAAAGGAUGAAAGGAGCUCUGGGAAUGAGGCCUUUUCUCAAUAGGUGCCUCAUGCCUUGAGAUCCGGAUGCUAGAGCAGCCCAGUCUAGACAUCUGGAAAGCCAAAGAGUAUCGUAGCACUACAUCAUUUAUUAUGUGAAGUGAAACUCAAGACUUACAGAACCUCCAAUUCUGACAAGUAGGAGAUGUCUCCAGGCAGCUCACCCGUCAAUCCCUCAGCUGCCAACGUUCUGCAGUUGAAAAUAGUCAGCUAAUCUCGAAACUUGGAGAAGGAAGAAAGGGUGAGGCUUAAUUAACAUUAGAAGCUGAACAACUGCCAAUAACUUACAUCCAAGUCACACGUGAAUUGUAACAUGAAAUGCCUUCCCAUUUGCCUCCACAGGGAUCUGCACCUACCCAAUUACGUGGUGUGUUUUUCCAGGCAUCCAUGAGCAUACUCAUUACUGUAACUGCAUCAGGAAUGGGGCAGAACAAUAAAAAAUUUCCAUGAUUCAAUCACCAUCAGAGUUGUCUAGUUACAUGGAGUAUGGAGGAUCCAUUAAAGCUAGCAAAGAAAUCUACUAAAUCUAAUCUAGCCUCGAACUUUAAUGAGUGAUUUUUGGCCCAAGUGCAGGCAAUUCAGAAUAUUCAUUCUGCACUUCAUCUGUUAAGUUAAGAAGACCCUUAAGCACUUGAUUCUGAUUAGCAUAAAAAGCUACAUCCUACAUGAGACAUGGCUCAAAAACUCUUUGUAGUAAAUGGGGAAUGUUAAUUUAUUGAACUUACAAUCAUCACCAUAGGUCUCUGUAUAAAUCUGAAAGGAAGCAACCAGCAAAAACGUGAGAACUUUGGGACACAUUUCUCAAAAGAAUUGCGAAGCUCUUUGUUAUGAGUGUUGCAUAACUCCAAAACCCUUUAAUAGCAGAAAUGAUAUCUAGAAGAACAACUCUUAAUAUGAUAAAACGUGGAAGAAAGAUCUUUACAUAUCCCCAUCGUUUACUUAUCUCAAGAUUUAUAUCGUGAAAGGACAUGAAUGGGACAUUUUUGUUCGUAUGAAUCACAUACUAAAUACAAAGACAAUUGACCUCCCAUCUCUAGUCAUUUUCAAGUUCACAGUCAAUAUGAAACUCUAAGACUCCUAAAAAUACAAGUAGAGAAACAAUUUAUGAGUUUCAUUCUACUAGAUACCGUAGGUGAUAAGAAUGAGUUGUGAGAGUGAUAGAAGAACCCACCAAAUGGUCAUGAUUGUCUGCUAAAGUCAUUAUUGAAGCGAUCAAUACAAAAACUUAUCAAUUGUUAAUGAGAUGUGUAGAUGAUUUUACUAAGUCUACUAAUUAGACAAGUACUAGAAAGAAAUGCAUUUGACAGUUGGAGUUUGGCUCAUUUAAUGAUUCAAUUGCUAAUCUAAAUGGAAAAAAAAAAAAAAAUUGAUGUAAAGGAAUUUACCACACUGGACCAUGAGCCUGCUAAACUUUAAAACUAAAUGCUUGCAUGAGUCCCGGGCUGAUUUGCUUGACCAAUCAGCACUUUAACCUGAUUUGUGAGAGGAAUAUAUCCAAGAUCGACGGAGAACGCGUUGCAAAUAUUCUACAAUACCAGCUGUUCCUUAGAAAACCAGGUCUAGAAGUUAUUAUUUUUCUAGUUAAUAUUAAAUUUUAAUUAUUUGUUUUAUUUAGCUUUGGAUUCUCUGGUUCAGUCAGUUUUAAACAACUACUUGAAUAAUUGUUGUGUUAAUUUUUUUUUGUUAGAUUAUUAAUACAAACUUUCCAACAAUAUUAGAGCUUUUAUCUAUUUCUCUACAAUUUAAAGUCUGCAACCUUAGGGUUUGAAAAUCAUAAUCUUUAUCUAUGCAAUAUGAUUUGUCAACCUCAACCCUAAUGCAACAAUAAUAUUGGGAAAGAAGUAUUAAAAAUGCCAAUUUGAUUAUUACUUUAUGACUUGCUGCUGCCAUUGUUAUUAACAAGCAGUUGGUUGCUACAGAGACAAAAACUCGUCUAUCUGACAACAGUAGAAAAUGAUUCAUGAAGACAUCAGAAUUUCUUCCAAACGAAUCAUUCCUUGUAAUUGCAAACACAUGGAUGGGUCCCCUCCUCUCUAUGAAUGCUUACAACAAAUCAUUCUCUUAGACUUGACAGCGCCUGACCUAAUCUUGAUCCGUGGGGAAGACGGCACUGCAGUUUCUCAGAUGAUGCCAACAAUUAGGACAGUACACAAGAAAGGUAAACCCAAGAAACCAGAGAUUUAACUGCACUCCUCAUUAACAGUAUCAUAAAAGGCAAAAAGGUCGUGAAAAAAAUGAAAAUAGUUGAAACAGUCAACAGCGUUCUUAACCACAACAGCAGUUCAUUUUGUCCUCUAAUGUUAUGAGAGAGAAUCGUUGUAAUUCUUCUACUAUCUUUAAUAUUAAUAAUAAUAAUUGAAAUGAAAGGGUUCAAGCUCUCAUCCCUUUCCAUUACAUGUUAUAGUUUUCAGCCCCGGUCGGUUACCGAAUCAAUUAUUCUUAUUAAAAUAGUAUCACUUCAUUCUUAAAAAAACAUUUCUCAGUAUAUAUUGAUUGUACCGAGUUUAACUGGAUCAACCAAAUCGAUCAAGUCAACUGGGUUUUUCUGAUUCAGCUUAAAACUCAACCCAUAUCAAGCUCUGUAUAUAUCAUAGGUUUUCUAGAUUACUCUUCCGACCAGAGUUAAUAGCUAUAAAUAUAUAUCAUUCUAAAAUGCUUGUUAUUCCGACUAAGGUUUUCUUGUUCAGCCUCUCACAGUUCAUUGUGGAUUCAAUACAGUUUACUGUAACUGCAUCAGGAAUGGGGCAGAACAAUAAAAGAUUCCCAUUAAAGCUAACAAAGAUCCGCGAACUGUAAUGAGUGAUUUUUGGCCCAAGUGCAGGCAAUUCAGAAUAUUUCGGAUACUGUACGUGAUAAGAAUGAGUUGUGAGAGUGAUAGAAGAACCCACCAAGUGGUUUCUUGCAUAUAGUAAACGUUGAUUCUAAUAAUAAGCAUCCACUCUGAUUGCAUCUGCAUACGCUUACAGAAUACAGAGAGUAUUUCGACAUUUCCUAGAAGUAACAGGGGUCAUGAUUGUCUGCUAAAGUCAUUUUUGAAGCAAUCAAUACAAGGAGUUAUCGAUUGUUAACGAGAUGUGUAGAUGAUUUUACUAAGUCUAAGAAUUAGACAAGUGGAAAGAAAUGCAUUUGACAGUUGGAGUUUGGCUCGUUUAAUGAUUUUGAUUUUUCGAGUUCGGCACAGUUGGAGUGUGCUACAAAAGUGAAAACAAUACAAGAGAAAUGCAACUCGUACUCUCAAGUAAGAAGUAUCACUGAAACAUUUGCCAAGCCAAGCUCAUACCAAGGACUCUGAGCUCACUCAUAGUGGCUCUACCUUUGAAACUGGGAAGUCCCCACUGUAAUCAAUGGCAUCCUUGGUAUAAAUGUAUGGACGUUUAGUACUUCCCUUGCUUGCAUCGUCAUAGUUGUUUGCUAGUCAUUUAAAUUGACAGAAAUAAAUUUUUGUCAGUCAAGAGAUUAGAGCCAAAGAAAAUUCAACAAAAUAUUUGAACUCACUCGUGGAAAGAAUGCUUGCAUCAGUCCCGCGCUGAUUUGCUUGACCAAUCAGAAUUUUUACCUGAUUUUAGUCAGAGGAAUAUAUCCUAGAAUGAUGGGGGUAACUGGUUGCAAAUAUGUUUAUAGACCAAAUAGAUAAGGUUAGAUAUAAAUACAUAUCACCUCAAAAUUCGGAUAGAAAAAAUAUAUAUGUGAUUUUGUUUGCGUUCGGAGAUUUUCUGGUAGUAAAAUAUUUAUGUAUUAGUUAAAGGAUCCAAGAACCUUGUUAUAACUUAAUUUUUAACCCUUUUAUUUAAUUUUUUUGUGUUAUUUAUUUAUUUAUUGAUUUUUACAAUAUUUCCUAAAAAAAAUUAAAAAAUUGUUGAUGAAAAACAAAUAAAAAGUUAAAUAAAUGAAGAAUGAAUUAAAAUGUGGGUUAAGGCAACAUGAUUGGAAGUUUAGAGAUUGAUUAAACUCUUGACUAAUUUAAUUAAUCAAAUCAAGGACUUAAUUGGAGAAUUGAUAAGUUUUGAGACUUAAUUGAGUUGGGAAUUAAUUUAAUUAAUCAAAUCAAGGGCUUAAUUAGAGAAUUGAUAAGUUUUGAGGCUUAAUGGAGCUUAUGAUUAAUUUAAUUAAUGAAAUCAAGGGCUUAAUUGAAGAAAUAUCAAAGUUUGGGGUUAAUUGGGGUCAAAAUUGCAACAGAUUGAAGUCCAAGGACUAGCUUGUAAAAGGCACCGAAAUGAAAGUAUCCAAUUACAUUUUAACCAGGGGCUUGAUUGCAAAAUUACAAGAAUUCCAAGGACCACAUUUAAAGCAGCCUUUGGAAUUGGAAAACGGAGUCGUUUUGGCAAGCGACUGCUCGUCGUCUUCUUCCUCGGUCACGGCUCCGGCAUUAAAGGCAGAGACGUUUCUCCAUUGAAUGCAGCACCCCACGGCCAUUACUGCCGGCCGUUACCAGCGCCGAUCGAUCUCUGACUCUAUAAAAAGCCGGGUAAAGGCAACCUCGCGAGAGGGGGGAAGACUGAGAGAGACGAGGCAGAACAGAAACGAAAGGGGAGGAGAAACAGAACCAGGGCAAAGUUUUGGUCCAUUCAACCAGCAGCACCUCGUGCUUUUACCACAACCGUCUUCAUCCUGAACGGAGAAGACUGGACAGAGCAACAGAAGAGGGAGAACAGAGGGGGAAGGAAGAGGACCGAACGGACAGAACAGGCGAGAGCUAGAGAGAGACGGACAUGGACAGAGGAAGCCAGUAAACGGAAGGAAUUAAGACAGAGGAACACAAAAAAAAAAACAGCAAAAAGUAAAGGAAAACGAGAAUCAGAGACAUAGUAAAGCAGAGGAGAGGAGAACAGCCGACCACCACGCUUCAGUUAUCAUCUCCGUUCCUGCGUUGAGGUAAGCCCCGCUUCUUUUGCAUUUUAAUUCGCUGCUACAGUAGCAGCGAAUUAUAAUUCAUUGGGCAGGCAUGCGUAACGCACGCCUGCCAUCCAGCCGGGUCCCGAGUCGGCUGGGUCAAGAUCAGCUCACAUGAGCUAAGUUGGACCCAGUUUAAAAAUAUAAAAAAAAUAAAAAUAAAAAUAAAUAAUAAAAAUAAAUAAAAAUAGAAAUUAUGCAUGCAUUAGAAAUAAGAAAAUAAAAUGUGUUUUUAUUUAUUUUAUUCACUAAUGCCAGAAUAAAGAAAAUGAUUUUUAUUUUUUUAUUAUUUUUUUUAGCUACGAAUACUUACCGACGCCAAAGUUGAGAUUAUUCGUUGUGGAAUAUUUACCAACGUCAGAGUUAAAAUUAUUUGUAUUAGAAUUUUUACCAACGCCAAACUUUGAAUUAUUUCAUAGUGGAAUAUUUACCAACGCCAGAUUUGGAAAUAUCUGUAAUUAAAUAUUCACUGACACUAGAGUCAGGAAUAUUAGUGGUGAACCGUCAUAACACAAAUCAACAAAAUUUUUAGCAAUUUAAGACAAGACUAGCAAUGUAGCUUACCUGGGGUAGAGUGCGCUAGCGGUGCUAAUACCUUCCCUAGUCACAAUCAGUCCCGUACCAUAGAAUCUCUGUUGACCAGUUAGGGUUUCUAGUGAUCAUAGUACUAGGUGACGACUCUUUAAAUAAGAUAUUUUUUCAUAAAAGAACAAGAUGCCAUAUAUCUGCUCUUUUUCUAUCAAGAUAAUAAUGCGAUAUCCGGGUGCGACAAAUAUGUCAGCAUAAAGAAAAAUAUUAAAUACCUUUUGUUAUAUAUAUAUAUAUAUAUAUGUUAUAUAUAUAUAUAUAUCAACUUUUCUGUAGCUUUAUUAAGAAUUCAAAAAUUACUUUUGAAUUCGAUAAAAAAAAAUAUUAACCAAUAAACCGAGCAUGAAGUUGUUGGAAAAGAUGGAUAGAGUACAGUAGUUAAUUUAUAAGAACAAAGCUAAAUAACAAGAAGAAAAUGAGAUGAAUCUUGGCAGGGACUUUGAAGAGGAACUCAAGAUUAAAUCAAAAAUUUAUGUCAUUGCAAUAUCCUCUUCUUUAAUUUUUCCUUUGGUCAAGAUGGUUAUCGGACUAAUAUUAGUUAUGCCAACCAAGAUGACCAAGUUUCUUAAACGCCAAAAAGUCAAGAAGUUCUGAUGAGAGCUUUCUAUGCUUAUCUUAUUCAUGAAAGAAAAUACGGCGAAGACACUAUUACAAAAGACGGUUGUCUUUACCAACAGUUUUUAGUCGAUGCGUUUGCAAAUGUUGAAGAAGAUAGGCUUGAUUACAUUAGAGCAAACCAGAAUGAUCUUCGAACUGAGCUCUAUCAAGGCAUUAAUGAAGCUGUUCUUAGAGGGGAUGUUCAAUGGUCGACAACCGGAAAAAUUAUUGUCCCCUCUUCUUUAACUGGCAGCCCACGAUACAUGAUAAACAACUACCAAGAUGUCAUGGCUAUUUGUAGAACAUAUGAAAAUCUAGAUCUAUUCAUUACAUUUACAUGCAACACAAACUGGCUUGAAAUCCAAAGAGAGCUUAGAAAAGUGAGAGUUUAUAAGCAUGAAGACAACCCUAAUAUAAUCACACGUGUUUUAAGAACAAAGCUGCUCGAUAUGUUGAAAUUCAUCAAGUUCAGCAUCCCUUCUGGCAAGAAAAUAGCUAGUGAAAUGAUUCUGUCCAUUUUUAUUUCAUUCUUAUCAUGUCUUUCUUUUACUAUUUUUAUUUGUUUUUGUUUUUGUACAUCUUAACAGAUGUAUGCGCAAUUGAAUUUCAAAAAAGAAGCCUUCCACAUACUCACAUUUUGGUUUGGCUUGCCUUGCCUCCGAAUUUAAAUGUCGAUCUGUUGAUAGUGUUGACUCAAUUAUUUCAGCUGAAAUACCUGAUAAAAAUGUUGAUCCUUUGUGUCAUGAUAUUGUUUCUAAGUUUAUGAUACAUGGUCCAUGCGGUACUGCAAAACCAAAUGCAUAAUGCAUGUCAGAUGGUAAAUAUGCAAAAUCAUUUCAAAAUAAAUUAAAAAACUCGACUAUUUUUUGCGAGAACAACUUUGUUUAUUGCAGAAAACAUGAAUAUCAUGAUAAUUUUGUAUUUAAAGAUGGAAUUGGGCUUUUCAAUGACUAUGUUGUUCUGUAUAAUAGAAAACUUUUAAUGCAGUACAAUGCACAUAUAAAUGUUGAGAUAUGCUGUCAAUCACUGUUGAUCAAAUAUCUAUUCAAAUAUGCCAGCAAGGAGCUUGAUAGAUGUAGAAUGGUGCUUCAGAAUGAAACUAAUGAUGAAAUACAUGCAUAUCGUAAUUGUCGAUUUAUCUGCUCCUAUGAAGAUGUUUGAUGUCUUUUCCAAUUUCCAAUUUAUUCAAGAACCCCUACAAUUGAAAGGCUUCAAGGUCAUAUAUUUGCCUUCUCAGCAAAAUGUUAUCUUCUCAAGCAACAACUCUCUUUGUUCUGUUCUUAGAAGGUCAGGUAUCAAUAAAACAAUGCUUACUGAAUGAUUUGACUGCAACGAAAAUUAUGCUCAUGCACGAGAGCUUUACUAAUCACAAUUUCCAAGCAAACAUGUAUGGGAUGGCGGGCUGAAAGAGUGGGUUGUCAUAUCAAGGAGGUUUAGCCUUGGACGUAUAACAUAUGUGCAUCCUGCUGCUGGGGAACUUUAUUUUUUAAGAAAACUUCUAAACCAUGUGAAAGGGCCUACAGGGCUUGAUGAUUUUAAAAAAGUUGGCGGCAUUGUUUGUCCAACAUUUCAGCUUGUUUGCAAGGCAUUGGGUCUUUUAGAUGACGACAAAGAAUGGUCCAAAGCUUAGUGAUCUCAUUCGACGUCAGUGUUUCUCAGAGGCUUCCAUUCUUUGACAACACUGUUGGGUUGUUGCCAUUGCAUGUGCAGCAAAUGGUUGGCACCAACCAUUGACUAUUGGCAGCCACCAUUGUUGAAGGUGAGCUGCAGUUGGUGGCCACCAUUGUUGACAAAAGAACAAGUGGAGCAGCACCAUGGAUGCCUAUAAAUACAGGCAUACGUUUGAGAGCAAAUUGUGAGAGGAGAGAGUGUGAGAGUGAAGUGACGAGAAGAAGAGAGAAAGAGGAGCUGCUGCCAUGGGCAGCAGCCCUGCUGCCAUAUGCAGCAGAGUGUGUGAACUGGGAGUUGAGUGAUCCUCCUCCAUGUAUUGUUUUGUAAACCUUUCUCUAUCUCUAAUACAAUGACGCUCUCCCGUGGAUGUAGGCGUUUUUGCCGAACCACGUAAAAUAUUGUGUCAAUGUGCUUUAAGUCUCCUAUGAACAACUAUCAGUACACCCCCGGUCCGCGCAUGGGGGUGCCGGAAACCCCAACAAUUGGUAUCAGAGCACAUGGUUUAAAGGGGUGUUUGAUUUUGCUCAAAAAUGAAAGUUGUCAAAAUUGUGUUUUGACCAUACCACUACAGAGUGUUGAGGCCAGGGGGCCUCUUCUGGCUUGAUCGCUUCUUCUGCCUGGGAUCACAGCUGAAUCAAACAUACGUUCCAAUGUUGGAUCGUGUUGGAUUCAGGAACCUAAGGUGGAACGCUGGCAUGAAGCUUGAACGAGGGAUUGACAAAAACGAGUGGUAUUUCUCUGCCCUGUUGGAGAAACCAAUGACCUGAGCAACAAUUUUUAACACCAUCAAAUCAAUGCAAUGCAAUGCCAUGCAUGCAGUUUAGGAAGUAUUUAGUUUACAAAUUUUAUUUUUUUAUUCAGUUUAUACCUAUGAUUAGUAUAAAUAAGGUUGUCGCAAUAGCUAUGAUAUUCAUGGUUUUUAAGGGUUUUGACUUUGUAAUAAAUUCUGUUAUUCAGCGUCGUGAUAAUAAUAAUUAUAAUAUUCACAACUUAAAAGAUUGGAUACAGGACACAGAAAAUGCUCAUCAUUUUACUUUCCUUUGAUUCAAGUGAGAGGUCGAAUCAAGAGAAAUAGAUCAAUAAGUUCAACUGGCAUAAGUUUAAUUUCUAACAUAAUUAAUGCAAGAGCACACAGGAUUUCUUUCACCCAAAAUACAAAGGUUUUGCUAAAUAUAUAUUCACAAGUAGUUGACUCUUACAAAUCUGAUGCACCUCACGCGGCAAACAUCGCAAGAAAAUAUUGUAAAACCCAGUACCGAAGCAACUUCUCAUCUUUCCCAGCUAAACAAUGCUCAUCAUGGUUCUAGACUCAAGAUAAUGAAAGCUCUUCUUCCUUCAAGGAUGGUGGAAACUCGUCCUGGCUUGCUUCCUCAAAACUAGCUGAAGUGGAUUCUGCUUCAGCAUUGGGGUUUAAACCUGCAAGAUGCAAGAUAUUCUCAAUCUCUUUCACCACUUCACCCAUUGUUGGCCUGUCACUUCCUUUCUCUUGUACACAUUUCAUUGCCAGAUCCAGUAUCUUAUCUAGACCUUUCGGCUUCGUGUCUAAACCAAUGCUUGGGUCAAGAAGUUCAUGAAGGUUAUAUAGAUCUUUUUUUCUAUCCAAUGAGCUACUUACCUCCGCUACAAGGUAUUUCCCUCGCUCUAAAGGCUUUCUUCCACUUACUAGUUCCAGCAACACAACUCCAAAGCCAUAGACAUCACUCUUCUCAGUCAAGAGCAGGGUCUCCUGAUAUUCUGGAUCUAUAUAGCCCUAAGCAGAAAAUAUAGUAAUCUUGUCAAUUGUAACCCUUGAUAUAUAAUGGCUUUAAUCAUAGACCAGCCGGCGACCUGCAUUUAAUGAAACUAGAUAGUCUUAAAUUAAUGAUGUUUUGGAGGUACUGACCCUUGUCCCUUUAACUUGAGUGGUAGCAAGAAUAAGCUCACUAUUGUCCAUGGGCUUGGAAAGACCAAAGUCAGCAACUUUAGCAUUUAAGGAUUCAUCCAGUAAUAUGUUAGCUGAUUUUACGUCCCUGUGGAUAAUACGAGGCUUGACAAGCUCGUGCAAGUAGGCAAGACCUCUUGCUGCACCAAGAGCCACUUUAAGUCUCCUCCUCCAAUCCAGCCAGAUCCCGCUCAAACCUGCUUACAUGACAAGAGGAUAUAUAAUUGUGUAGACUUGCUACAACUAUAGAAUGCGUGUGCUUAUUUUCGGAAGAAAGGCACCAAAGGGUCGUCAUGGAAAACUCGAUGCUUGUAAGAUUGAAAGGUUCCAUGUACAAUACCUGAUAGGCUGUCCCUGAGACUACCAUUGCGAACAAACUCAUAAAUUAGCAUCUGUUCACCUCUCUCAAAGCAAAACCCAACAAGGUUUACAACAUUUUUAUGAUGAACUCUCGUUAAAACUUCUAUCUCUGAGUUGAAUUCAAGCCCACCUUGCACCGAUCCUUGUCGACAUCGUUUGAUGGCAAUCAGUUGUCCAGUAGGAAGCAUCCCUCUAUAAACCUGUACACAAAAAUGUUGAAAGACUCAAGUAUUGUGUUGCUGAAAAAACACCAUGGCAGCUCAGAAGUUAGAUAGUUUGAAGGCAAAUUGCAGCCAGCAACACCCACAAUCAUUGUUUAUGCAAAUGAAACCACCAUGGCAGGACAGGAAAAGAGGGAGAGACUUGCCAUUCCGUAACCCCCUGAUCCAAUAUGAUUGGCUUCCGAGAAAUUAUUGGUGCUCUUCGUAAUCUCAUCGAAAGAGAAGCAUCUGGCUCCCUUCAACUGAGGAACUCUGUCAGUGUUCUUUAAAUCCAAGUAUCCUGCAAUUUGGCAAAAUAAAGAAAAAGAAAUAAACCCGCAUGCAAUUUUCAAUGAUGAACGGGAAAAUAUCAGGUCUAAAAACUAGAACCUUAAAGUACCAAAAUGAUUCUUAUGUUUACUUGCUCUUUCUCCUCUUUUUUUCAGACGAUAAGCAUAUACCCCUGCAAGAAGCAAUAGUAGCAGGAAAGAGGCUCCUCCAGCCGCAGCCCCAAUGAUACUUCCAGUGCUCCAUAACUUGUUUGAUACCGAGGGUUUUCCUGCUUGAAAAAGGGGUAGGGAGGGAGAGGGAUGGGUGAUCAGAAGAAAGAAAGAUCAAUGUAGACAAAUAUCUCUCACUUGUGCAUGAAAUGUGAAAUUACCAUCGAAGUAUGGGUAUGCAGCACCCUUAAAAUGUGAAGGUCCAAAGAUAUCUGGAUUUUCAAUAGUCUGAAGGUUUAGCACAGAUCCAAUUUCAGAAAUUGUAGUUGUGUUAAAAUGAUUUUGGCCCGAAGGAAACACAGAUACGUUCGAUUCAAGAUUCCCCAACGAAUCAUUUGUUGGACAAUUUACAUAAACUGAAUCCACAGGAAGCCUUGAGUUCUUAAAGGAAAGCAUCAGAGACUCUUCUACCAGACGUGGAUAAUAAGUUGCGUUUCUUGACUCUAAAAAUGGAGGUCUGAAGAACAGUACUCCUGUGUACGGAUAAGAGAAUUUGCUGUUGGGACUGGAAAUCUGAUCUGAAAUGCAGGGGAGGAGAAACGAAGAAAUGGCUUGAUGAACUGUGCAGUAAUGUUCUGUUGCUUCUGUACGCCCACAAACUGGGUUACCCACAAGUCUGCAAAAUUUAACACAUAAAACACUCUUACGCAGGCAAGUAGCAUAGCACAUCUCCUCAGGAUUUAACUUUUCACACUACUAACAUGACAAGGUUUCAGUCAGAUCUUAAGACUUUUGAAUGAUCUGUGUAAUUUUACAAUAUCUGAGAGGGACUGUUAUAAUUCAUCCCACAAUAAGAAGAAGAAGAAUGCCUCUUACAUUACAUCCACGUUAUUCCUUUGUUCUGGUGUUUCUGAAUAGAAUGAAAUGAGAUUGUUUCGCAUAUCAAUGGCUUCCAGCUGGCUGCUAGAGCUUCUUGCAAUAUCCAAUGUGCCAUUGAGCUGGUUGUUCCUUAGAAUCCUGUAACCAUUUGUGAAUUUAGAUAUCCAUCAGUUUCCAUGAGAUGAAAGAAUCUAUCAAUAUCCAUGAAGUUGAUUGCUAUGGUACUAAAGAAACAAGUGGAAGGAUACUCACAAAGUCUGUAAACUAGGAAGAUCGAAGAGGGUAGGAGGAAUCUGACCUUCAAGUCCAGUGUUUUCCAUCAUUCUGUUAUUCACAGGAAGGGAAGAAGGCUUCACUAUGUUGACAGCGUGAAAAAUCAUAAAUUGUAAACUUUUAUACACAGGAAUGCAUAGUCAAUAAGAGGUUCCAUGGACAAAAAUGUCUCUGUCAAAAAACCAAUGACUGCUUCAUAUAACACUUGUAAACAUGGAGACAAUUAUAAUCUAGCAUGUAAAGAUGAUGCCUGACUGAGAUACCUAACAACAUUAAUAGACUGGAAAUCUUACAAGUAGCUGAGAUAAGCCAUGCCAGUGAGAUUAGGAACAGGCCCAGUAAAUUUAUUGUUGGACAAAAUCCUGAAAUUUAUCAGCAAAAACACUCUUAACAGAGUGAGAAUUCGCACAAAAGACUUAACAAACUAGCCAAACCAUUGUGAUAUCUUUACUGGCAAUGUCGUUUUCUGUAUACUUACAACGUCUUCACAGUGGUAAGAUUGUUGAGGUUUGGAGGGACAGGUCCAGUUAAUGAAUUCCCUUCAAAACGUCUGCAACAAAGAUAAGGCAUUCAAUACAAACUAGAUCAGUGUAGAUUAAUCACUUCAGUUUGCCAUGUAGAUGCUUACACAGCCUCCAAAGUGUGCACAAGUCCAAGGGUAGAAGGAAUGCUUCCCGUGAGAUUAUUGUCAUGCAAAAUCCUGCACAAAAGUAAAGUAUAUGAUGUAUAUAGAAUUGUAAACCUUUUAAAGAGGCAAAUUAAAUUAAAAAGAAAUAUUCUUUUCUUUUAAAUUAAAUUAAAAUCCCACUUCCUAUUUUCUCCCCUAUUCCAUUGGUGAAGUAGUUUGACUUCAACAUCCAAAGCAUAUACAAACUUACACAUGAAUGAGAGUCAUGUCUGAUCUGAAAAGUUCUUUCGGGAUUGUGCCUGAGAGCUGAUUCCCUCCUAGAUGACUGAAUAAUUUUCAGACCAGCAUAAACAGAUGUCAAUAAAGCCGAAGCAAGAGAGAACACUAAUCAGCUGGACAGCACAAAGAUAUUUGACAUACAAGUGUAGUGCAUUAACUAGCAUAUCAAGACCAGAUGUAUUUCCACUGGAGACAGGGAUGGCUCCAUCGAGCAGAUUAUUGAAUAGAUCCAGCACAAUGAGUUUUGAAAGGUUUCCAAGUGAAUGUGGAAUUGAUCCAGUGAAUCUAUUAGAAUUCAGGUCUCUGCGGGAAAUAGCAAUAGAGAGUUUCAGAAAACAGUAAAGGUUGCCAAUAGAGCACAUGUUUAGUCCACAAGGAAACAGUAAAACACUUACAGAAACUCCAGCAGCUGAAGAGACCCUAUCAACUCAGGGAUAGGACCAGAGAAACUACAACCAGCCAACUUUCUAGAAUGGAAGAAAUGAAAAUUCUGUCAGUUAAUUAGAGGAUUGGUUUCAGUUAAUACUAACAUCAUAUUAUUCCCUUACAAGUUUUUUAGCUUCUUCAAAUUCACAAUUGAUGGUGGAAGGGUACCGUUCAACCCCGUGUUGUCCGAUAGAUCCCUAUAACCAGACACUGUUAAUGAGCAAGGAAUCCUUGGAAUGGAAAACAAUCACUAUGUUCAUAUAUCAAGAAAAAGGAUGAAAGAAGUUCUGGGAAUGAGGCCUUUUUCUCAAUAUGUGCCUCAUGCCUUGAGAUCCGGACGCUAGAGCAGCCCAGUCUAGACAUCUGGAAAGCCAAAGAGUAUCGUAGCACUACAUCUUAAUUUGAGGCUAUGACUACUUGUAAGUUGGAUCAUUUAUUAUGUGAAGUGAAAACUCAAUACUUACAGAACCUCCAAUUCUGAUAAGGAGGAGAUGUCUCCAGACAGCUCACCCGUCAAUCCCACAGCUGCCAACGUUCUGCAGUUGAAAAUAGUCAGCUAAUCUCGAAACUUGGAGAGGGAAGAAGGUGCGAGUCUUAAUUAAAAUUUGAAGCUGAACAACUGCCUAUAACUUACAUCGAAGUCACACGUGAAUUGUGACAUGAAAUGCCUUCCCAUUUGCCUCCACAGGGAUCUGCACCCACCCAAUUACGUGGUGUGUUUUCCCAGGCAUCCUUGAGAAUACUCAUUACUGUAACUGCAUCAGGAAUGGGACAGAACAAUAAAAAAUUUCCAUGAUUCAAUCACCAUCAGAGUUUUCUAGUUACAUGGAGUAUGGAGGAUCCAUUAAAGCUAGCAAAGAUCUCUACUAAAUCUAAUCUAGCCUCGAACUUUAAUGAGUGAUUUUUGGCCCAAGUGCAGGCAAUUCAGAAUAUUCAUUCUGCACUUCAUCUGUUAAGUUAAGAAGACCCUUAAGCACUUGAUUCUGAUUAGCAUAAAAAGCUACAUCCUACACGAGACAUGGCUCAUAAACUCUUUGCAGUAAAUGGGGAAUGUUAAUUUAUUGAACUUACAAUCAUCACCAUAGGUCUCUGUAUAAAUCUGAAAGGAAGCAACCAGCAAAAACGUGAGAACUUUGGGACACAUUUCUCAACAAAAUUGCAAAGCUCUUUGUUAUGAAUGUUGCUAACUCCAAAACCCUUUAAUAGCAGAAAUGAUAUCUAGAAGUACACUACAAGAUUUAACAGUUUUACCGACGGAAUUUUUCCGUUGGUGUAAGACAUAUUCUGUCGGUAAUUAAUUUACCGACAAAAUCACCGACGGAAAUGCCCCGCCGGUGAAGCUUUCAUCGGUAAUUUUUUGUCCGUCGGUAAAUCCGUUGGAAAUAAAAAAAUAAAAUUACCCGCGUCAUUUCGUCGGUAUAUCCCUCGGUAAUAAUAUUUUUUUAUUACCAACGGAUUUACCAACGGAAAUUCCAUCGGUAAUUCCGUCGGUAAUUAUUUAAAAACAUUUUUAAAAAAUUCAUUUUAAAAAAUUAUAAAAUAAUUAAAUUAACAUAAAUCAAUACUGUAUAAUAUAUACUCAAAAUGCUUGAAAACAAAAUACGAAAAUCAACUCAAACAAAUUUGCAACAAAUAAAUAAAACGAAAAAAUAAAUUCAACUAAAAAAAUUCAUAUGAAAAAAAUGAAGUUGCAAUUGCUAAAAAUUUAAAAAUCCUAUAAAUAAAUCAACUAAAAAUUAAUCUCAUAUGAAAAAACAAAUCUCACAACAACAUUUAUACAAUUAUUAAGAACAAAAACAAUUUAAAAUAAAAUAAAAAACAAAUAUAGUGAAAAACAAUCAUGAAAAAAGAAGAAAAAUCUUACCUUAAUGUAGUUGCAAGUGAAGCUAAGGAGAGAAAAUUUUUUUCGUAAAGCAUAUUAAUUAAAAAAAACUAAGAGGAUAAAAGAAGAAAGAAGAAGAAGACAUAUAUACCCGAGCAUGGAGGAAAAGAGAAGGAGAUGAGGAGAGAAAAGAAGAGAAAGAAAUAGAUAUUGAUGUUUUUUACAUAUAGUGAAGAAGAAGAAGAAGAAGAAGUAGAAGUAGAAGAAUGAGAAGAAGAAGAAGUAGAAGAAGAAGAAGAAGAAGAAGUAGAAGAAGUAUCUCUUGUGAAAUAACGGGAUUCAGGUUUUUUAUUGGGGCGCGUUAGCGACGGAUUUACCGACGGAUAAUUGAAUAUUAAUAUUUUUUUAAUUAUUCCGUCGGUAAUUCCAUCGGUAAUAUUUAAUUUAAAUUUUCAAUUUCGUAAAAAGUUUUCAGAAACCGCCAACAAUUACCGAUGAUUUUUCAGUCCGUCGGUGAUUUCGUCUGUAAUAUUUAAAUGAAAAUUUUAAAUCAAUUGAAUUUUUUCAGAAAACCGCCAAAUAACACCAACGACUUUUCAAUCCGUUGGUGAUUUUGUCCGUAAAGAACAACAAUUAACAGUGCAAUUGGAAAGUGAACAGUUCUGGAGCUCUCUGGAAAAUACCGACGGAUUUUGUCCGUCGGUGAUUCCCUUUGUAAUUGACAUGAUGAAUAGUGUAAACAAGUUUACCAACGAAUUUACUGACGGAAUUUACCGACGGAAUAAAUUCCGUCGGUAAUUCCGUUGGUAAAUCCUGACACGUCAUCAUUUUUUUUUCUUUGUUUUAAUUUUUUUGUCCCACCGUAAUUCCCUCGGUAUAUACUGAGGGAAUAUUUCCGUCGGUAAAAUCCCUCGGAAAUUUACCGAUGGAAAUAUUCCCUCGGUAUUUCCGUUUGUAUUUAUCGGUUUUCUGGUAGUGGUAUAACUCUUAAUAUGAUAAAACAUGGAAGGAAGAUCUUUACAUAUCCCCAUCGUUUACUUAUCUCAAGAUUUAUCGUGAAAGGACAUGAAUGGGACAAUUAUGUUCGUAUGAAUCACAUACUAAAUACAAAGACAAUUGACCUCCCAUCUCUAGUCAUUUUUGUUGGGACAUUCAAGCAAUCAAACACACAUAAAUUUACGUGGUUUGGCAACUUGCCUAUGUAGGGGAUUCCGGCUCCCCCAUGCGCGGACCGGGGGUAUACUGAUAGUUGCUCAACGGAGGGUAAAGCACACUGACACAAUAUUUAACGUGGUUCGGCAAAACCGCCUACAUCCACGGGAGAGAGUCAUUGUAUUAGAGAUAGAGAAAGGGUUACAAUAAAUACAUGUAGAGGAGGAGGAUUACAUCCACUCUACUCAACUCAUCAACUCUCAUUGCUGCUCUUGCAGCUGUUGCAAUGGCAGCAAGGCUGCUGCCAUUGCAGCUCUCUUUCUCUCCACUCUCUUGCAUACUCACGUUCUCUCUCUCAUUUUUCUCUCAAAUAUAAGCCUCCUUUAUAGGCAUUUCAUGGUCAACAUGGAGGGGCCAGUAAUGCCUUAAAGUGUGCCACUAAUUAUGGCAUGAAUGGAGCUACCACUAACUUGGUGGUGGGGUAUUGCCACUAAAUGGUAAUAUCCUAACAAUCACCCCCUUUGCCAUUUAUGUAGGCAAUUGUCAUCUUGCUUCUUCAGCACAAGCUUGAAUUCUGCAGCUCUUCCAAGCUUCCAUUCUGAGAGCGUCUUCAACACAACAUUCCCCUUCGAGCGUAUCAAUCAUGCUCGGUCCGGAAUGAUUUUUCAAGCCUUACACCAAGGCUUACAACACCCCCUCAAACGAAUAUUUCCAAGUGUGACAGUCAUUGAGUAUUUCAAUGUGAUCACAAGCUCACCACUCUUCCAAGAGUCUACUCAUCCAGGAGUUGCGCCUGCCCUUUGUUCCACCCUAGGAACCACGCCUUACUUCUCUGUGAGUCUCUCGCUCUUAGUCGUAAGAGUCCAGGUAGCUCUCCACCUUUCACCAUGGGGGCAGCCCAUUAAAGGUUGAUCCAUAUUUGUCUUCAUACUCUGAGUAUUACAAUGCCAUUACCGAGCUCACCACCUUGAUAAGAGUCAACUCGUUCUCGGAACCUGCGCAUGCCCUUCUGCUUCUUCAUAGCAGCCGCGUCUUAAUGCUCCACAAGUCACCCACUUAUUGUCCAAGGCAAAUGUCUUCUAGCUCAUUGAUCUUUAGCAUGGGGGCAAUAUCCAUGAAAGUCAAUCCUGCAUUUGUCUUCAUACUCAUCAUAGCCACUUCAUUGGCUAUACACCUGUCCACUCAUAUCUAGCCAUUACAUUGGCUCUGGGGCGUUCUGAACUGGGCUCAUAUCAUGGCCCACACACCUUCUCCUCAGGUGUCUCCGCUCGUCGUCAUGCGGCGGUCUGAAAUAGGGCUCCUAUCGCGGCCCUCACACCUUCUCUAAAGUGUCUUCACCCGUUGUCAUGGGGUGGUCUGAUCUUGGGCUUAUAUCAAGGCCCUCACACCUUCUCUAAGGUGUCUUCGCCCGUUGUCAUGGGGCGGUCGCAUCCUCCUUCAGCUGAGAUGCUUUAAAGUGGCUCCAAAAUUCUCUACCACCAUGUGCACUAUGGGAGAGAUUACUGCCACUGACUACAUAGAAAGAGAAAGUUGCGGUAGACUCCUCGCAAUCCUCCACCUCAAUUUCUAUGUUUGGAGCUUCUGUGCCUUUCUGCUUGACAGCUCCACCUACACCAACUCUCUUUGGUGUCUUCGCCUUUCAUCAUAGGCGGUUGCCUUUUAUCACAGGCGUUUGCACCCCUUCAAUUAGGUGCCUCUGCAACAGCUCUCUUUCCAUCCUUGCAUGCAUUGGAAAGGUCUUCGCCUAUUGUCUUCAUCAAGAGCAUAAGAGACUUCCUGUUGUACAAACUUUAACAGUCUCUGCUCUGAGCUUCAUCUGGGAACACUUCUUCUCCUUGCACCUGUUGUCUCAUUACAGCACCUCAUUGGAUCCUAUGGGUACUCCUGCACAAUCUCCGUGUGCCCUCGUGCAAUUUCUGUUCUCCAGAUUUCUCCCUAUUCCUUGCUUAUGUUUGACAGCAGUUCAUCCUGUCACAACACCUGUCCAAGUCAAAAUAGGGUGCCAAUCUUUAUCCCUUGCCGUAUUUCUCUACCAUUAUCAGGGUCUUCAUCAAUUCUCCCCUCGAGAAAUCACAGUCACCGAAUCUAACUUCUUUGGAGAAAUCACCACUUCAUCAGAUCCUUGAUCAUACGGAACCCAAUUGUUCCCUUGUGCCGUCGUCCUGCUAGUCUUCAACCGUUUCAUUACAAACUGCUAUAUAUACGAAAAUAGUACCGUAUGGAUAAUCCUUCCACUAAGCAAGUUCCCAGGAAAGAUUGGAGGGGUCACACUGGUCCCGCUUAAAACCCAAUCUCCUAGACAGAACUUCUCAGGCCAUAUCUAUCCAUCGUACUGUCUUUCCGUAUAUACAACCAUUUGCUAGCUUUGUUGCGGCUUUCCUUUACAAGUGAUCUGGAAUAUACUGGUUUAAUUCAUGAUUUCUCAACAUCUGGCGAGACUACCAGUUCUUAGAUUCGUCAAGAUUGGUCUUCGUCAAUUUCCACUCUUCACCUCAAAUUAUCCACAUGAUCGGGUGUCUAGAGUGUCCCAAUUUUGCCUUCCCUCAAGGCAGUUAAAUUUCUCCCCACUUAGCAGUUCAGCACAUGUAAUUGGGUAAACAUGUGCACCUUCUUCUUCUUCUCUUCAACGACCACCAUGAUGACCUUCAGAUGCCUCCUGAUCGGGCAAUCUCAUUUGUUAAUUCACCACCGCCAUUUUCGGUCUCAAAUUUCAACGAUCGGACCGUACCAUCUUGAUGUAUGCUAUGGUCUGGCCUACUCCACGGAGCUACUAGUUUGUAUUAAUCACUCAAAGAAACACUACAAACAAAGAGGAGGAGAAAACUCUUCUCUACUCAACUCUACACACUCAAGCUCUCCACUGCUCUCUCUCGUUUCUCUCUGUGUUUUCACUCUUCUCUGCCACCAUUACACAGCUCUUCAAUGAGCAUAUAUAUAUAUAUAUAUACAAAUGGGAGUGAAGGGGCAUAAAUCAAGCCAUGAUUUAUGCCAUCGAUUAUGUCCUCCACCAUGUGUCAAGUGGGAGAUUAGGUAUUCCCACUUGCAUAUGGUGAGACAUUGUUUGUCUCCAUUUUCUAACAAUUUUCAAGUUUAUAGUCAAUAUGAAACUCUAAGACUCCUAAAAAUACAAGUAGAGAAACAAUUUAUGAGUUUCAUUCUAGAUACCGUAGGUGACAAGAUUUAGUUGUGAGAGUGAUAGAAGAACCCACCAAAUGGUCAUGAUUGUCUGCUAAAGUCAUUAUUGAAGCGAUGAUCAAUACAAAAAGUUAUCAAGUGUUAAUGAGAUGUGUAGAUGAUUUUACUAAGUCUACUAAUUAGACAAGUACUAGAAAGAAAUGCAUUUGACAGUUGGAGUUUGGCUCAUUUAAUGAUUCAAUUGCUCAUCUAAAUGGAAAAAAAAAAAAAUUGAUGUAAAGGAAUUUACCACACUGGACCAUGAGCCUGCUAAACUUUAAAACUAAAUGCUUGCAUGAGUCCCGGGCUGAUUUGCUUGACCAAUCAGCACUUUAACCUGAUUUGUGAGAGGAAUAUAUCAAGAUCGACGGAGAACGCGUUGCAAAUAUUCUACAAUACCAGCUGUUCCUUAGAAAACCAGGUCUAGAAGUUAUUAUUUUUCUAGUUAAUAUUAAAUUUUAAUUAUUUGUUUUAUUUAGCUUUGGAUUCUUUGGUUCAGUCAGUUUUAAACAACUACUUGAAUAAUUGUUGUGUUAAUUUUUUUUUGUUAGAUUAUUAUUACAAACUUUCCAAAAAUAUUAGAGCUUUUAUCUAUUUCUCUACAAUUUAAAGUCUGCAACCUUAGGGUUUGAAAAUCUUAAUCUUUAUCUAUGCAAUAUGAUUUGUCAACCUCAACCCUAAUGCAACAAUAAUAUUGGGAAAGAAGUAUUAAAAAUGCCAAUUUGAUUAUUACUUUAUGACUUGCUGCUGCCAUUGUUAUUAACAAGCAGUUGGUUGCUACAGAGACAAAAACUCGUUUAUCUGACAACAGUAGAAAAUGAUUCAUGAAGACAUCAGAAUUUCUUCCAAACGAAUCAUUCCUUGUAAUUGCAAACACAUGGAUGGGUCCCCUCCUCUCUAUGAAUGCUUACAACAAAUCAUUCUCUUAGACUUGACAGCGCCUGACCUAAUCUUGAUCCGUGGGGAAGACGGCACUGCAGUUUCUCAGAUGAUGCCAACAAUAAGGACAGUACACAAGAAAGGUAAACCCAAGAAACCAGAGAUUUAACUGCACUCCUCAUUAACAGUAUCAUAAAAGGCAAAAAGGUCGUGAAGAAAAUGAAAAUAGUGAGCUCAGUAUGCUACAAAGUGCAAACAACACAAGAAAAUGGCAACUCGUACUCUCAGGUAAGAAGUAUCACUGAAACAUUUGCCAAGCCAAGCUCAUACCAAGGAUUCUGAGCUCACUCAUAUAUAGUGGCUCUACCUUUGAAACUGGGAAGUCCCCUCUGUAAUCAAAGGCAUCCCUUGCUUGCAUCGUCAUAGUUGUUUGCUAGUCAUUUAAAUUGACAGAAAUAAAUUUUGGUCAGUCAAGAGAUUAGAGCCAAAGAAAACUCAACAAAAUAUUUGAACUCACUCGUGGAAAGAAUGCUUGCACCAGUCCCGCGCUGAUUUGCUUGACCAAUCAGAAUUUUUACUUGAUUUGUUAGUCAGAGGAAUAUAUCCUAGAUAGAUUGAUGGGAAAGUGUUGGAAAUAUGUUUAUAGAACAAAUUUUAAUUCUGUUUGUAUUCUUAGAUUUUCCAGUAGUAAAAUCAUGCAUUAGCUAAACGAUCCAUGAACCUGUCAGCAUAAAGAAAAAUAUCGAAUACCUUUUGUUUAUAUAUAUAUAUAUAUAUAUAUAUAUAUAUAUAUAUAUAUAUAUCAACUCUUAUGUAGCUAAAUUAAGAAUUCGGAAAGUACUUUUGAAUUCGAUAAAAAAAAAAACUACCCAACCUCUUAAAGAGGAGAGAAGAAGCAGAUUAAUGGGAUAACUUCACACACAUUUUUCAUUUACAUUGUGCAUGUAUAAAUACAAGAUUGAAGAGCUUAUUAAGCCUGAAGUUUUGCUAUUCUGUAACUAACUGCAAGUUGUCCAUAAUUCAAACAUUCAAACUAAACAUAAAGAUUUGAUUCCGGUGGAUGAGGAUUUUGUGGAGGAACUGAUGUUGUUGGAUGAGUGAUUUGUGGAAGAGUGAUGACUUUCCUAAUAUGCCCCCGCAAGAUGGAGGUACCAUCAGUAACUCCAAUCUUGGAUUUUAAGGUUUGAAACCGGUGGCGUGGAAGAGCCUUCAUAAGCAAGUCUGCAAGCUGAUCCAAAGUGUGAACAUGACUGACAGUAAUGCGACCUUUCUGGACAAGAUCACGAACAAAGAGAAGGUCGAUUUCGAUGUGUUUCAUAUGAGUGUGUUGCACUGGAUUUAAGCUGAAAUGAGUUGCACCAAUGUUAUCACAAAAAAAUUAGGGAGGAUUUGGAAGAUGUAAGCUAAGUUCUUUGAUUAAGGAGUGAAGCCAAACUAUUUCAGAGGUGGCAGUAGCUACUGCAUGAAAUUCAGCUUAUGUAGAAGAACGCGAUACAGCUCUUUGUUUGCGUGCAGACCAAGAAAUGGGAUUGGAGCCUGGAAAGGUGAUAAAUGCGGUGAUGGAGACUCUAGUAUCAGUGUUGGCAGCCCAGUCCCCAUCAACAAAGGUUCAUAGGUUUAAGGGGCUGGUCUGUUGAAUAAGAAUCCCAUGAAACAUUGUUUGCUUGAGAUACCUGAGAAUUCGUUUGGCUGCAGUCCAGUGACACGCUGUUGGUUUGUGCAUGAACUGGGAAAGUCGAUUUACUGGAAAUGCAAUGUCAGGUCUAGUCAGACCAAGAUAUUGCAGUGCCCCAAUAACUCUGCGAUAUUCAGUGCUGUCUGUAGGAGUUGAACCAUCCAUUAAAAUCAGUGGUGUGCUGGUUGACAGUGGAGUGUGAAUGUCUUUGGCCAUAUCCAUGGAAGUUUUAGAGAGUAAAUCUCAUAUGUAUUUGUGUUGUGAAAGAAAAAGGCCUUUGGUUGUAGGAAUAACUUCAAUGCCAAGAAAAAAAAUGGAGGUCUCCCAUGUCUUUGACAGAGAAGGUGUGACAAAGUUUGUUGAUGAUAGCAGCUACAAAUAUGGAGACGUUUCCUGUGAUAAUGAUGUCAUCAACAUACACAAGACAAUAGCAGAGAACACUGUUAGAGGCAUAGAUGAAUAAAAACGUGUCCGUAGCUGAGUGAACAAAACCAAAUUGCAGAAAAGCAUCCCGGAGAGCUUUGUACCACUGGCGAGGUGCCUGUUUCAGGCCAUAAAUACUUUUCUUCAGUUUACAAACAUAGUUAGGCUUGGAAGUAUCUCUGAAGCCCGGAGGUUGAUGCAUAAACACUGUUUCUUCAAGAUUGCCAUGAAGAAAAGCAUUAUUUAUGUCAAGCUGCCUAAGGGGCCAACCAUUCAUGACAGCAAUGGAGAGGAUUAAGCGAAUUGUAGCUGGUUUGACAACUGGACUGAAUGUCUGGGAAUAAUCAAUACCUAGUCUUUGAUGGAAGCCUUUGGUGACUAGACGAGCUUUGUAUCUGCUGAUGGUUCCAUCAGGAUUUUGUUUUGUUCGAAAAACAAAUUUGCAGCCUAUAAGAUUUUGACUUGCUGCAGGAGGAACAAGUUCCUAAGUGGCAUGAUUAAGUAAUGCAGUGAUUUCUUCGGACAUGGCAUUGCGCCAAUGUGGAUUUUUAAGUGCUUGACUAACACAUGUUGGCUCAGGGGAUUCAGGUAAUGGAUGUGUUGUGGUGGUGUGAAGCUGUUUUGGAACAAAGAUGUUGUUCAUAGACUGAGUGGUCAUGUUAUGUCGUCUUUGAGAAACAACAGGAGCUAGAAGAUUUACCUGAACUGUGGAGACUGUGGUUGUAGUGUCCGAAUUGGAUGUAGGGAGAGAGAGUUCUUCUUGAUGGACAGUAGAGACUGGUGCAGAGAAAGCUUGGUUGGCUGGGGUGACAAUCUGCAGUAGUGGUGCAGGUAGAGUAGGAGCGACAGGUAAGGAAGACUUAGAGGUGGACUGGUUGAUGAUGUUCUUUAGAGGAUAGGUGUUUUCAUCAAACGUAACAUGCCGUGAGACAUAUAAGCGUUGAGUAGGUAAGUGGAAGCAAAGAUAGGCACUCUGUGUAGUGGAAUAACCAAGAAACACACAAGGAACAAAUUUUGGCUGGAGUUUAUGUGUGGUAAGGUUUCAGCCAGGGAAAACACAAGCAACCAAAUGUUCUAAGUUUGAGAUAAUUGGGAGCUGUUGUGAACAAGGUUUGAAAGGGAGAUUUGUGAUGAAGAAUAGGAGAGGGCAAUUGAUUGAUUAGAUAGGUGGCUGUGGCAAAAGCAUAAGACCAAAAAUAGGAAGGAAGAUUGGCGUGACUGAGAAGUGUGGUACCUAUUUCUACUAUGUGUCUAUGACGACGCUCUGAAACACCAUUUUGUUGAGGAGUGUGUGGGGCUGUGGUGUAAUGGCCUAUGCCGUGGAGAGUAAGAAAAGGUUGUAGAGCAACAAAUUCUCCACCAUUAUCAGAGUAGAGACUUUUGAUAUUAACAUUAAACCGAUUUUGGAUCAUUUUAUGAAAUUGAGGAAAAAUGACUUUAACAUCAGAUUUCUUACGAAGUGGAAAAAACCAGACAUAUUUUGUGAAGUGAUCAAUGAAGAUCACGUAAUAUUUAUGAUCUUGAAUGCUGAUUUAUGGUGAUGGUCCCCAAACAUCGGUAUAUAUUAAAUCAAAAGGAGCAGAGCUAGUGAGGCCAUGUUUAUGAAAAGGCAGGCGAUGAGAUUUAUUGAUAGAACAGGAAUCACAAAAAUGAGAUAUAGAAGAAUUGCUGGAAACUGUAAGAGAGAAUGAGGAGAUCAUUCUGUCUACAACUUUUGAGGAAGGGUGGCCUAGGCGCUGAUGCCAACCAUUUAUAGAUGUGCGUUCAUGAACCAUUGCAAUGGGAGUGGAGGCACAGGGAUGAGGUAGAGGAUAAACACCAUUCUCACACGGUCCUUGAAGAAGAAUCUCUCUCUCUCGUCUGUUGAUCCUUGACAAAAAAACAAGAAGGAUGAAAUUCAAGAAACAUUGUUGUGUUUGGUAAAAUGAUGGACUGAAAUCAAAUUUUGAUUAAUGGUGGGAACACAAAGAGUGUCUUGAACUUGGAAAGUGCGUUUAGGAAAGGGAAGAGUAAGAGAACCUGAGUGAGUGAUUUUCAAACCUGAACCAUCUCCAAUGAGCACUUCAUCUGUGCCUUCAUAUUUAGAGUGUAAGUGCAGAUUGGAUACUUGAGAGGUGAUGUUAUGCGAUGCAGCAGAGUCAAUGAGCCAUCGCUGAUCUGGACUCUGAGAAGCAGUGGUGUAGUUAGCUGUAGCCUUCUUGAUGUGUAACUUAGGACAGUAUUUUGCAACAUGGCCAAGUUGAUCACAGUAUUGGCAUUUGGGAGUGUAUUUCUACUGCCUGAAAUAGCGAGGUUGAGAUUUGGAAUCAUAUUUUUGUGUGGCUGCAUUUAGAGAAGACCAUGGUUUUUUUUGUGAAAAACUAUGAUUCCUGCGCUAAGUAUUAUGUGCUGUAACAACCAGGGGAGGAGAAGCAAUGUCCAGGCAUUUGAGAUACGACUCAUGACCAAUGAGAAGAUCAUGAAGUUCUUCAAAUGAUAAAGCAGAUUCGCGUGUACGAAUAAGGGCUACCAUUUCUCUAUAUUCAAGACCUAAGCCAUUGAGAACAUAGAGAGUAAUAUCAUCAGCAGAGAGAGGGGCAUCAAUGAGAGCAAGCUUAUCGGCAAUGGACUUGAGAGAAUAAAGAAAUUCUGUGAUAGUGCGUGUUCCACGCUGAAUGAGAGUGAGAUCCUUUUUGAGUUGCAUGACUCGUGUUCUAGAACGACUGGCAUAAAGCUUGGUCAGUUUGUUCCAGGCUUGAGAGGAUGUUUUGGAAGCUGCUAUGAAAGGUAUCACAGAAUCAGACACCGAAGUAAGAAUAGCAUUCAAAAUUAAUUUGUCCUGUCGAAACCAGUGAGUAGAGGCAGCAGUAGGUGUUGCAUCAAAAUUUAUGGACAGGGGACAUGUGAGUGUACCAUCAAUAUAACCAUAUAGGUUGUAGUCGAGAAGGAGGGAUUCAAACUGUGCAUGCCAAGAGGGAUAAUUGGUUGGUGUGAGUCGGGUGGUGAUCUGCUGGGUGGCAUUAAUAACAACAGGGGGAGAGGCUGAGGAGGCCAUUGCAGAAGCAAAGAAGAGAAAGAAAAAAAAAUCAAAGGAGAACUCGUUGGAGAAAAGAGAGCUCUGAUACCAUAAAGAGGAGAUAAGAAGCAGAUUAAUGGGAUAACUUCACACACAUUUUUCAUUUACAUUGUGCAUGUAUAAAUACAAGAUUGAAGAGCUUAUUAAGCCUGAUGUUUUGCUAUUCUGUAACUAACUGCAAGCUGUCCAUAAUUCAAACAUUCAAAUUAAACAUAAAGAUUUGAUUCCGGUGGAUGAGGAUUUUGUGGAGGAACUGAUGUUGUUGGAUGAGUGAUUUGUGGAAGAGUGAUGACUUUCGUAAUACCUCUAGCAUGAAGUCAAGGCUUCUUUUGGAUUCGCUUCGUUGUUUGAGUAAGCCUCGAACCAAUGAGAAACAAGUGUUAUUCCUAUAUCUGUCCACCUUGAUAUGACUAAUACAAUUUUUAUUGGAUUUAUAUUUUUUUUCCUUCUAUUUUAUAUUUUUUUUCCUUUUUUUUCUCUAAAAACAUUGUUUUUUUUGUUAGCAAUUCUAUGUGUUUGUAAAAGGUUCAUUGGUUUCUUUUAUUCCUAGCUUAUCAUCUUAUUAUAUAGUUCUCAAUCUUUCCUCAGCUUUUCUCUUCACCUAUUAUUCAUGUAAUCUCGGAUUAGACUUUUCCCAAUUUUUUUAAUAGCUAGAUUUUAUACAUAAAUGACUAGCCAUCGUCAACACUUGCGCUCAUCGCAUCACCAUACAGCUCAGCACACCAAGAAAACGAAUCUUAUAUUUGCUCGGUUAGUGUCCGUUUUUUUACGCAGCUGCGGCUGCGUUUUAAAAUGAACCGCAGAUUUAAGCUGUUUGGUAAAAAAAACAGGAUUUACUGUUCAUGGCCCUCAUUAUUUACUGCGUUUGCAACGCAGGGGGAGAAGAAGCAGCUCCAAACUGCUUUUUUUGCAAAUUGUGUUAUAGCACAGUAACCAGAGGCACGCAACUUUCUUCUUCCAGUAACCAGAGGCGCACAACUUCUUCUUCUUCUGCACUUCCAUGUCUCCACUGUUCACGUGAAUAGUGGAGACAUGGAAGUGCAAAAGAAUAAGAAGAAGGAGAAUGAGGGGUUGGGGAAAACAGGGAAAGAGUAGAUAGCUUUGUCAUCCAACUCCAGCACCAAGCAGACACUGAGAGGAGAAGGAGCAGAAUAGAGGAAUAGCUAGAAAAGUGCUCAACUUUCAUCUUCAUUCCCUCCUGCUUUGCUUUUAUCAACAUUACACUGUUCAAGUGAAUUUUAAUCCACUUGAACAGUGUAGCAACACGUGUGAAUUUAGUACACGCGUGUUACUUUGCCCAGCCGGGUCAUUGGCUUGGGCCAGUGACCGGGCUGGGCUGGCUGGGUUUAGCCCAGCCCAUAUGGGUCGGACUAGGUCCGAUCCAAACCUAAAUGCAUUGACCCGAGUCCGUCCCAAACCUAAAUGCAUUGAAUCGGGUGUGACCCAGUAAAAUAAAAAGAAAUCCAGAAAAAUUUCACAGAUAUUGUGUUUUAUUUGAAAAACUAAUGUUUAACAUGAUUCAAUGGCACUAUAUAAUUACAUUUGAAGAAGAUCGUAUGAUGACAUAGCAUUUGCAGAAUUUGAUCGCAAUCCUAAUUUUGUUCUUGAUGAUAUUUUACCUCAUGUUGAUGCACGCUUAGGAAACUAUGGAAAUUGUAGUUCUUAUUGGAUAGAUUUCAUACGUGAUGAAAUUGCACAUAGUUUAAUGCAACAAUAAAAUAUAAUUUAUAUAAAGUAUUGUUUAUUUUAUGAUGUAAUAGCAGUAGUUAAAUCGAUAAUAUUUCAAUGAAAAACCACCAAUAUUAAUAUAUGUCUUUUUUAAUUAUUUUGUAACCUCAGUUUGAAAAGCAUUAUUUAACUAAACAUAUUAAACUACUUUUUGUUCAACCUCAAUUUCAACUACAGUUUUAACCAAACAUAAAUUUUUCCAAACCAACCUCAACUAAAAGUACUUUUUAUAAAACAACUUUUUUCAAACCACAACCAUAACAGCUACCACAAUACCAAACACAGUCAGCCACAAAUGUGACCUUGGUUCAUGCAGCUCUGAUCAACUCUCGCAUUCAUAUCAAGGAGCAAGCUCAUGUUCUCAACCUUCAUUAUCUUUUCAUGAUCAUCAACAUGAUGAAUCCGUGGUCAAGGAUCUUAUCAGUAUGCUUGAUUCAACUAACUGCUUAGUUGGGUUAAUUAUUUCAUUAGGCUUCACAAAGAUUCAUAAAGCGUAACAAUCCUAGAUAUAUACAAGCUUCGAUUUUUUGGUCAAAGAAGCCAUGACUCAAUACAAUAUAAUUAUCCAUCAUUGAAUGAUAUCAGUGGUUUGAUUAUUGGAGAUAUUGGUUAUUAUCAUUCAGAACGAGAUAUCAUCAUCGAAAUCUUGGCUGGGUGUUUGCAAAGGAUCUCAAAAUUACAUCAAAAAAAUAUGUCCUUACAAUAUUCUUUUUUUUUUUCCCUUCGGUGAAGAUGGUAAUCAGACUAACAUUAGCUUUGCCAACCAAGAUGACUAAGUUUCUCGAAAACGCUAAAAAAUUCCAAUAAGAGCUUUAUAUGUUUAUCUUAUUCAUGAAAGAGAUUAUGGUAAAGACACUAUUAUAAAAGACGAUCGUCAUCUUUACCAUUAGUUUUUAGUCGAUACAUUUACAAAUGUCGAAGAAGACAGGCUUGAUUGCAUUAGAGCAAACCAGAAUGAUCUUCGAACUGAGCUCUAUCAAGACACUAAUAAAGUUGUUCUUAGAGAGGAUGUUCAAGGGUUGACAACUGGAAAAAAUAUUGCCCUUUCUUCUUUAACUGGCAGUCCACCAUAUAUGACUAACAACUACCAAGAUGUCAUGGCUAUUUGUAGAACAUAUAGAAAUCCAGAUCUAUUCAUUACAUUUACAUGCAACACAAACUGGCUUGGAAUCAGAAGAGAGCUUAGAGAAGUGAGUUUAUAAGCAUGAAGACAAGCCUGAUAUAAUAUCGCACGUGUUUUAAGAACAAAUGAAGAAAUUAUGAGUGAAAGAUUUUCACCGUUCUUAUUAAUUACAAGCAAAGUUACACACACACACACACACACACACACACAAAUAUAUAUAUAUAGAGAGAGAAAUUUUUAGCCAGCUAUUCUUACAAUCCUUAUAGGAUAGAUAUCCUAUCAGCAGUAGGAUAUACAUGUCAGGUCUUUGACUUAUGAUUAUACACGGAAUUAUCCUUAACUGCUAACUGCCCCCAUAAUUUCAGGAACUGAAGAGAGUGUACAAGCACAGGACAUAAGAUAUUUGCAAUAAUCCCCCUCAAGUUAGAUCCAGAGGAUUAAUGGAUCCAAGCUUGCUCAAUAGUUGGUGAAAUUGAGUAGACAACAUAACUUUGGUAAACACAUCUGCCAAUUGAUCAUUUGUACAUAUAUAAUAAAUAGCAAUAAGUUUUGACUGAACUUGUUGUUGAAUGUAGUGAUAGUCAACUUGAAUGUGCUUCGUGCGUUCAUGAAAAACAGGAUCAAAUGCAAUGUGCAUGGCUUAUUGAUUAUCACAACAAAGUGUCAUGAGAAUAUUGCACGGACAGCUUAGAUCGGUUAGAAGGCAUUUAAGCCAUACAAGCUCACAUGCAGCUGAUGCCAUAGAGCAAUAUUCAGCCUCGGUGCUAGAACGAGCCACCACACGUUGUUUUUUACUUUUCCACGAAACUAGGUUACCACUAACAAACAUACAAUAACCAGUAGUUGAUCUACAAUCAAUUGCAUUUCCAGCCCAAUCAGAAUCAGAGUAUCCCAUAAUGUUUGUAUGUCCGUUAUUAUUCAUAAUGAUGUCACGACCAAUAGAUCCUUUCAAAUAUCAAAGAAUGUGUUUCAAACCAGCAUCUUAAAGCAAGUCUACAAUAUAUUUUUGUUGAUUUAGAAAUAACCCUUCGCUAGAAGUUGUCAUUUCAAUUCCAAGGAAAUACUUCAAAUGCCCAGAUUGGAAAUUAGAGCUGGAGAUUCUUUUUCAACAAAGCAAUAGAAUCACUAUUAUUACUCGUGAUGAUGAGAUCAUCCACAUAUAGAAGCACCAUGAAAUUAUCAUUUGUAUUGAGUCGAACAUAGAGUGAAGAAUCAGUCAAACUCCUUGUAAAACCGAGAGCUUCAAGAGCAGUACUUAGUUUGGCAUCCCAAGCAUGAGGACUUUGUUUCAACCUAUAAAUAGAUUUAUGUAGUUGACAAACCAUUUUGGAAUCUCCAACUUGAGGAUGUCCUGGUGGAAGCUUCAUAAAAACUUCUUCUUCAAGAUCUCCAUGCAGGAAUGCAUUUUUAACAUCCAUUUGCAACAUUGCCCACCCAUUAUUGAUAGCUACAGAUAAAAAAAACUCUGACAGUGGUCAUUUUGGCAACUGGGGCGAAUGUCUCUUUGUAAUCAAUGCUGCAUUUCUAAGUAAAUCCUUGAGUAACAAGACGAGCAUUGUGUCGAUCAAUCGAGCCAUCAGAAUUGAAUUUUGUUUUGAAUAUCCAGUGACUCUCAACUGCAUGUUUUCCAUGAGGAAGAGGAACUAUACUCCAAGUUUUAUUUUCCUCGAGAGUUGUGAGUUCUUCUACCAUAGCCUUUUGCCAGAUACCUUGAGAUUGAGCUUCUUGAAAGUUUUUGGGUUCAUGAACACUGGAGAUCAUUGUAAGGAAAGCUGCGUGCAACGGUGAUAAUCUUUGAUAAGUCAGGAAUGUAUUAAUUGGGUACCUGACUGUAUAGGCAACAUAAUCUUGCAAUUUAGCAGAAGGGUGAUGAGUCCGUUAUAGAUUACAUCACAGAGGUUCUGCUCUGUCUUGAACAUUGGAUAAUUGAUGUUCAAUGGAGUUGAUAAUACUUGCUGGAAGAACAUUACCAGAUGACUCCACGUUGUUAUCAGAGACAGUUACAGGAGAUGAUGAAUUUGUAGUGUGAUUCGUAGCUGGUUUGAGCAAAUCAGUAGAAUUCUCAAUGUGAGGAUCAACACUAAGUAGGGGGGAAAAUCCGGGAGUAUAUCUUCUUGACUAGUGCCUUCAAAAUAAGGACUAGUUUCAACAAAUCGAACAUCUCUAGAGAUAUAUAGCUUCUUGGAUUUAGGCUCAUAACACUUGUACCCCUUAUUAGUUUGCAAAUAACCUAGGAAUAUGCAUUUAACAGCUCUAGGAUCAAGUUUAUCACGUUGAGUAGCUGGUAAGUGUACGUAACAAGUGCAACCGAACACAUUAAGGUAUGACACAUCUUGUUUUUUGUCCUGCAAAACUUCAAGAGGACAUUUGAAAUCCAACACUCGAUUGGGUAAAUGAUUUUUAAGAUGAGUGGCAGUACAAUUCUCGUAUCCAUAUUGUUUUGUAAUAGGGACAUCACAUAAUCAAGGUGCGUAGGAAAUCUUGUUCCAGGAGUUCACAUAUUUUGAAAGGUGCUUUGUAAUAGUAUGUCUUAGAUAUUAUGUUGAACAUUUCCAUUCGACAUCUUUGUAAGGACUUGUAAUGAAAAUUGUAAUGGAACACAGAUUUGGAUGUGAGAACAUGUAGAUACGAUGUUAUAAAUAUAUUAUGUGGUAUUCUCUUUUAUGAGGAUGUUGUGUUGUGAAAUCACAUUAGGAUCGUAUGAAAGAAAGAACUGGUUGUGUAAAAUUGAUAUUCGGCACUCAGGUAUAAACUCCUGUUGAUAACGAAACUAGGACAAGAAUGGAAACUCAUGAGUAUGUCAAUAUGAAGUAAUGUAAGUGUAUGAAUAUGAAAAUAUAAUAUUGCGCGCAUGUGUAUUGAUCUUUCGUCUUAUGAGAAUGUUGAUUUACAAAAACUAUGUCCAUAUGAUGCCUGAUAAGGAAGGGAACCUAAUUACUAAUUCAUGGCGUGUCAGAGAAUUAUCGAGAACUAAAAAAAUUUCCACCGGUUUUGGCUUUGAAAAAGCCGGGUCAUUACAAAACAACUCAGGGUAGACAGAAGAGUUAUGUCGGGUCAUAAUAGCUUGAAGUCUACAUCUACUUUGAUUUUCCACAUUCUUCUUGAAUUUCCAAAAACUCCUAGCAAGACUUGUAUUUCAUAAAGAAAAUCCAACAUAUGUUUGGCUUAGAGGGCCAACCACAUUAGUAUGGAUUAAUUGGAGUUUCUAUGUUGAUCUCCAAAUUGAUUUUGGAAAUGGUUUCCUGUUUUGCUUACCAAACUGACAGGCUGUACAAUUUAGUAACAGAUCAGUAAAUAGAGGCACACCUUUUAUAGCAUCAUUCUUCUUCAUACUGAGCAUUCAUUGAUGAUGACAAUAUCCUAGCCUCUUAUGCCAUACUUCUAUGUCAUUUAGCUUUGUUGAAAAAGUUAUGUGUGUUGUUCAGAGGAAGAAUAUAUAUUAAUCUUAUUUCAAUACAAAUUAAAGAGCAGAGGAGGCUCUUAUAUAUAUAGCCUAUAUAGAGACUAAUUAGGAAAAGAUUCAUUGCACUAUUCUAGGCAGUAAUCGUGGUAAGGCUAAUUAGGAAACUAAAAUAUUCUAUGAUUCCUAUUCUGUGAUUUCUAUAAUUAUUCUUCACGUCAACACUCCCCCUCAAGUUGGUGCAUAGAUAUCAGUAAUGCCCAACUUGUCUAGUGAGUUGUGGAAGAUUUUGCCCGAGACAACCUUUGUAAGUAUAUCUGCUAGUUGAUCUUCUGAUUUUACAAAUGGAAAUUGAAUUAUGUUGUCUUCAAGCUUUUGUUUAAUGAAAUGUCGAUCUACCUCAACAUGUUUGGUAUGAUCAUGUUGAAUUGGGUUGUGCGCAAUUGUUAUGGCUGCUUUAUUGUCACAAAACAUGUUCAUUGUAUCUUGAGAUGAACAUCCGAUUUCUUCCAUUCAUCUUUUUAACCAAAGUAGCUCACACAGUCUUUUGGUCAUACCUCUGAAUUUAGCUUGUGCACUUGAUAAAGCAACUACCUUUUGUUUCUUGCUUCUUCAAGUGACUAGAUUUCCGGCCACAAAUGUGAAAUAGCCAGAUGUGUAGAUGUUGAUUUUUCCUAAACAUCAGUCCUUUCCUGGAGAAGACUUCAAGUAUCGCAAAAUGCGAAUCACAACACUCAUAUGAUAUUCGCUAGGGUAAUGCAUAAACUGACUUACCAAACUCACGACAUAUGCAAUAUCUGGUCGUGUAUGAGAUAAGUAUAUUAGUUUUCCCACAAGGCGUUGAUAUCUCUCUUUAUUGGUGGGAGCCUGAUCAGGAAAUUCUCCCAAACCAUGGUUUUGAACUACUGGUGUAUCGGCCGGUUUGCAAUCAAGCAUUCCUGUUUCAGACAGCAAGUCAAACACAUAUUUCCUUUGGGAUAGAAAUAUGCCUUGUUUCGAUCGAGCUACUUCAAUCCCAAAAAAAAAAAGAAGUUCUUCAUCUUAAAUUCUGUUGCUAACUACUCCUGUAAUUUAGAGAUUUCUUCUCCGUGGUUUCCUGUAAUUAUCAUGUCAUCAACAUAGAUUAUUAGAGCUGUUACCUUUCCUUGUUGGUACUUCAAGAAGAGAGUGUGGUCUAAAUUACUUCGCUUGUAACCAUAUCUCCACAUGGCAAAGCUAAAUUGUCCAAACCAUGCUCUCGGGGAUUAUUUUAAGCCUUAUAACACCUUUUGUAGCUUGCAAACCACCUUUCCUUGUAUCGGAGAAGCAAGUCCAGGUGGAAUAUCCAUGUACACCUCCUCCUCAAGAUCUCUAUGGAGGAAAGCAUUUUUUACAUCAAAUUGGUGCAGUGGCCAGUCUAAGUUUGCAGCAAGAGAGAUCAGUACUCUCACAGUAUUUAAUUUUGCUACAAGUGAGAAGGUUUCUUGAUAAUCUAUCCCAUAUGUCUGAGUAUAUCCCUUAGCAACUAGCCUUACUCUAUAUCCUUCUACGGACCCAUUUGCUUUGUGUUUAACCAAGAACACUCAUCUAUAUCCCACAUUUUUCUUUCCUUCGGGCAGUGGUACGAGCUUCCAAGUAUUAUUUUUCUGCAGUGCUUCCAUCUCUUCCUCUAUCGCUUGGAUCUAUUUAGGAUUAUUCAUAGCUUCAUUCACUGUAUUGGGGGCAUCUUCUGUAGACAAUUUAUGUGUCAAUGCCUUGAGGGGUUCAAAUAACUUUUGAGUUGAGACAUGGUUGGCAAUUGGGUACUUGGAUUUGCUCGUCCCAUAAUCAGGUGAAUAUCGUUUUGGAGGUUGUCCAUGAUUAUGCCUGAAAGGCAGAUUAUAGCCAGUAGAAAUAUUUUGAGAGGAGUUUAGAACUUGUACCUCACGAAUAUUCUCAGGAGAUUGAACUGAUUGUGGUAUUGUCACGGUAUGGAAGGGCUGUUUAUUGGAGACUUCUCCAGUUUCUUCCAUUUGCUCACCAGUUUCUGCACUCUUCAUUUCUCCUUGAUCCUUUAGUAUUUUGGUCUCUGUUUCAACAUGCUCACCAUUUUAUAUUUCUUAUUGAUCCCUCAGUAAUUCGGUCUGUGUGUCAACAUCAACAUACUCUGUAUGUGGCUGGAUAAUGUUAUCUGAGAUCUUUCUUAUUAUCUCAUUAUCUCCCCCUGCAUUCUUCACUAUACAGUUGUUAAAGCCUGACCAAUAUUCCCAAUUCUGCUCAGCACUCAUGAGCUCCUCCUGACCAGAAGGGAUGGAAGAUGGGGAAGUGAAGAAAUGCUCAUAUUCAAGGAAGGUAACAUCCAUGGAGGUAUAAAGUCAUCUUGUAGCUGGAUCAUAGCAUCGGUAUCCUUUCUUGUGAGCUGUAUAUCCAAGAAAAACACAGCGGACAUCACAGGGGCCGAGUUUGGUUCGUUGAUUUUUAUGUAUAUGAACAUACACGACAUAACCAAACGUUCUGGGAGGAGGCAUUAGAACUGACGGUAAGAUCACAUUUUGGCCUAGAACUUGAAGUGGGGUCUUGUAAUCCAGAACUCUUGAUGGCAGUCUGUUUAGCAAGUAUACGACGGUCACCACUGCAUCAGUCUAGAACCGUUUGGGCACAUUAGCAGCUGUCAUGAGAGCUCUCAUGAUUUCCAAGAUAUGUCGAUUUUUAUGUUCUGCAACACCAUUCUACUGUGGUGUUUGUGGACAAGAUGUCUCAUAAUGCAGACCAUGUUCCUGAAAGUAUCGGUGGAAUUGUUUAUUAUCAUAUUCCCCACCAUUAUCGGAUCUCAGAAUCUGUAGUUUUGCAGAAAAUUAUGUUUGAAUCAUAUUAUGGAAGGAGCGAAAUAUGUUAAACACCUCAUGUUUAUUUUUCAUCACAUAUAGCCAAGUCAUUCAUGUACAAUCGUCAACAAAUAUGACAAACCAGCGAGCUCCGGAAGAGAUAGUAAUUGGGGCAGGGCCCCAAAUGUUAGUAUGAACAAUCGCAAAUGGAUUGGCUCUGAUUUAAACGUAUUGGGUACGAUACACGAUGACUCUUAGCUUUAAUACAAGUUUCACACUGAAAAUCUUCUUCGCGAAAUUUCGUGAAUAGUUCUGGAAAUAAAUAACGUAAAUACCAAAAUGAGGGAUGUCCCAACCGAUUAUGCCAUAACCAAAUCUGCCGGUCUUUAUUGUCAACGAGGUGUAUGUUAUUGGUUCUACCACAGCUGAAGUCGUCCAUGUAAUACAUCCCUUCCUUCUUAGUACCACGACCAAUAAUCUCCUUGGUGAGAAUAUCCUGAAACAAGCAAAAACUAGGAUACAUUACUGCACAACAUUGUAAUUCCUCAGUGACUUAUCCUACAGACAACAACUUGUUGGACAGUGACGUGACUAGCAGGGUAUGUGGUAAUGAGAAAGAAGAAGAAAGUGCAACAGUUCCCGCCCCUAUUACUGGAUAUGUUACUCCAUUAGCAUUAGCAAUGCAUAGCCGUUUUGGUUGAGUGGUGUCAGAGAAAUCACAGGGAUCAUACGUCAUGUGGUUUGUUGCCCUAGAGUCAAUGAUCCAGCCAUCAUGAUUAGGAUUUGUCUGAGAGCAAAAAGCAUAACCUUGAUUACCUGGGUCAUUCUGAUCAGUCUGUUCUCCAGCCGAGGUAGGAGAUUCUUAUGUGGUACAAGUGAUAAUGGAGGUUCCAUGCUCAUAAGGGUUGCACGACCAGUAUGUUCACUGCUCUGAUACCAUGUCAAAGAACCAUUUCAACCCAAUAGCUUAAGUUGUUAGGUAAGGUUCCAAAAUAUGAUUUAUAUUAUUCUCUAACAACAACUUAUACUAAAUUCCGUUAUCCUUUGCUCUCUACUGCGUAAAGUUUUGGAUGAUAAUAAUAAUAUUCACAACUUAAAAGAUUGGAUACAGGAAGCAGAAAAUGCUCAUCAGUUUACUCUCCUUCGAUUAAAGUGAGAGGUCGAAUCAAGAAAAAUAGAUCAAUAAGUUCAACUGGCAUAAGUUUAAUUUCUAACAUAAUUAAUAUAAGAGCACACAGGAUUUCUUUCACCCAAAAUACAAAGGUUUUGCUAAAUAUAUAUUCACAAGUAGUUGACUCUUAAAAAUCUGAUGCACCACACGCGGCAAACAUUGCAAGAAAAUAUUGUAACACCCAGUACUGAAGCAACUUCUCAGCUUUCCCAGCUAAACAAUGCUCAUCAUGGUUCUAGACUCAAGAUAAUGAAAGCUCUUCUUCCUUCAAGGAUGGUGGAAACUCGUCCUGGCUUGCUUCCUCAAAACUAGCUGAAGUGGAUUCUGAUUCAGUAUUGGGGUUUAAACCAGCAAGAUGCAAGAUAUUCUCAAUCUCUUUCACCACUUCACCCAUUGUUGGCCUGUCACUUCCUUUCUCUUGUACACAUUUCAUUGCCAGAUCCACUAUCUUAUCUAGACCUUUCGGCUUCGUGUCUAAACCAAUGCUUGGGUCAAGAAGUUCAUGAAGGCUAUAUAGAUCUUUUUUUCUAUCCAAUGAGCUACUUACCUCCGCUACAAGGUAUUUCCCUCGCUCUAAAGGCUUUCUUCCACUUACUAGUUCCAGCAACACAACUCCAAAGCCAUAGACAUCACUCUUCUCAGUCAAGAGCAGGGUCUUCUGAUAUUCUGGAUCUAUAUAACCCUAAGCAGAAAAUAUAGUAAUCUUGUCAAUUGUAACCCUUGAUAUAUAAUGGCUUUAAUCAUAGACCAGCCGGCGACCUGCAUUUAAUGAAACUAGAUAGUCUUAAAUUCUUGAAGUUUUGGAGGUACUGACCAUUGUCCCUUUAACUUGAGUGGUAGCAAGAAUAAGCUCACUAUUGUCCAUAGGCUUGGAAAGACCAAAGUCAGCAACUUUAGCAUUUAAGGAUUCAUCCAGUAAUAUGUUAGCUGAUUUUACGUCCCUGUGGAUAAUACGAGGGUUGACAAGCUCGUGCAAGUAGGCAAGACCUCUUGCUGCACCAAGAGCCACUUUAAGUCUCCUCCUCCAAUCCAGCCAGAUCCCGCUCAAACCUGCUUACAUGACAAGAGGAUAUAUAAUUGUGUAGACUUCCUACAACUAUAGAAUGCGUGUGCUUAUUUUCGGAAGAAAGGCACCAAAGGGUUGUCAUGGAAAACUCAAUGCUUGUAAGAUUGAAAGGUUCCAUGUACAAUACCUGAUAGGCUGUCCCUGAGACUACCAUUGCGAACAAACUCAUAAAUUAGCAUCUGUUCACCUCUCUCAAAGCAAAACCCAACAAGGUUUACAACAUUUUUAUGAUGAACUCUCGAUAAAACUUCUAUCUCUGAGUUGAAUUCAAGCCCACCUUGCACCGAUCCUUGUCGACAUCGUUUGAUGGCAAUCAGUUGUCCAGUAGGAAGCAUCCCUCUAUAAACCUGUACACAAAAAUGUUGAAAGACUCAAGUAUUGUGUCGCUGAAAAAACCACCAUGGCAGGACAGGAAAAGAGGGAGAGACUUGCCAUUCCGUAACCCCCUGAUCCAAUAUGAUUGGCUUCCGAGAAAUUAUUCGUACACUUCAUAAUCUCAUUGAAAGAGAAGCAUCUGGCUCCCUUCAACUGAGGAACGCUGUUACUGUUCCUUGAAUCCAAGUAUGCUGCAAUUUGGCAAAAUGAAGAAAAAGAAAUAAACACAAUUUUCAAUGAUGAAUGGGAAAAUAUCAGAUCUAAAAACUAGAACCUUAAAGUACCAAAAUGAUUCUUCUGUUCACUUGCUCUUUCUCUCCUCUUCUUCUGACGAUAAGCACAUACCCCUGCAAGAAGCAAUAGUAGCAGGAAAGAGGCUCCUCCAGCCGCAGCCCCAAUGAUCCUUCCAGUGCUUGAUAACUCUUUUGAGACCGUGGGUUUUCCUGCAUGACAAAGAGGGAGGGAGGGAGGAGGAUGUGUCAUCAGAAGAAAGAAAGAACAAUGCAAGCCAAUCUCUCACUUGUGCAUGAAAUGUGUAAGUACCAUCGAAGUAUGGAUAUGCAGAACCCUUAAAAUAUGUAGGUCCAAAGAUAUCUGAAUUCUCAUAAGUCUGAAGGGUUAGCACAAAUCCAAUUUCAGAAAUCGUAGCUGUGUUAAAAUGAUUUUGGCCCGACGGAAACAUAGAUAAAUUUGACUCAAGAUACCCAAACGAAUCCUUCGCUGGAAAAUUUACUUCAACUGAAUCCACAGGAAGUUGAUGGAACUUGAAGGAACGCAUCAGAGACUCUUCUUCCAGAUGUACAUAAUAAGUUAAGUUUCUUGACUCUAAAAAUGGAGGUUUGUAGACUAGUACUCCCCUGUAUGGAUACGAGCAUUUGCAAUUGGGACUGGAAAUCUGGUCUGAAAUGCAGUGGAGGGGAACACAUUUCUCUGGUAGCCUCGUAUACGAAGAAUUGGCUUGAGGAACUGUGCAGUAAUUUUCUGUUGCUUCUGGAUGCUCACAAACUGGGUUACCCACAAGUCUGCAAAAUAUAACACAUCAAACACUCUUAUGCAGGCAAGUUGUAUAGCACAUCUCCUCAGGAUUUAACUUUUCCCACUACUAUCGUUGUCACAUUUUAGCAGUCAAGUGGACAAAAUUAAGGAAAAAAGAAUUACAGAGACAUCUCAAAAGUUUGAAGAUAUUAUAAAAACUUUUGUACGAAAAAUGCCGUUAACGUUUGAUAUAUAUUGAAGGGAUGAUUAUCUGUAAUAUCCGAGAGGGACUAUUGUAAUUCAUCCAAAAAAAGGAGGAGGAGAAUGCCUCUUACAUUACAUCCACGUUAUUCCUUCGUUCUGGUGUUUCUGAAUAGAAUGAAGAAAUGAGAUUGUUUCGCAUAUCAAUGACUUUCAGUUGGCUGCUAGAGCUUGUUGCAAUAUCCAAUGUGCCACUGAGCUGGUUGUUCCUUAGAAUCCUGUAACCAUUUGUGAAUUUAGAUAUCCAUCAGUUUCCAUGAGAUGAAAGAAUCUAUCAAUAUCCAUGAAGUUGACUGCUGUGGUACUGAAGAAACAAGGGGAAGGAUGCUCACAAAGUCUGUAAACUAGGAAGAUAGAAGAGGGUAGGAGGAAUCCGACCUUCAAGUCCAGUGUUUUCCAUCAUUCUGUUAUUCACAGGAAGGAAAGAAGGCUUCACUAUGUUGACAGCGUGAAAAAUCAUAAAUUGUGAACUUUUAUACACAGGAAUGCAUAGUCAAUAAGAGGUUCCAUGGACAAAAAUGUCUCAGUCAAAAAAACAGUUACUGCUUCAUUAACACUUACAAUAUACAUGGAGACAAUUAUAAUCUAGCAUGUAAAGUCAUGAUGCCUGAGCAAAAUUUUAAGGGUAAAUUGCAAAGUGGGAUGGUGGAAAGGGUUUGUGAUUCUUGAAAGAAAACAGUCUAGUUAAGGCUUCAUUGAGUUGGUCGAGUGUGUGUGAUGACAGAGAGAAAAGGAGGGAGGAAGGGAGACAUACAGUGUUGUCAAAGCCCGUAAGUUUGAGAAUGACAACGGAAAAUCUGAAGCGUCAAAACUAUUAUUGCUCAGGUCCCUGGAGAAAAGAUUUUGGUCAUAGUUGGCAUUUGGAGAAACGUCGAAUUGUAUUUCAUACUGAGAUACCUAACAGACUGGAAAUCUUACAAGUAGCUGAGAUAAGCCAUGCCAGUGAGAUUAGGAACAGGCCCAGUAAAUUUAUUGUUGGACAACAUCCUGAAAUUUAUCAGCAAAAAGCACUCUUAACCGAGUGAAAAUCCGCACAAAAGACUUAACAAACAAGCCAAACCAUUGUGAUAUCUUUACUGGCAAUGUCGUUUUCUGUAUACUUACAACGUCGUCACAUUGGUAAGAUUGUUGAGGUUUGAAGGGACAGGUCCAGUUAACGAAUUCCCUUCAAAACGUCUGCAACAAAGAUAAGGCAUUCAAUACAAACAAGAUCAGUGUAGAUUAAUCACUUCAGUUUGCCAUGUAGAUGCUUACACAGCCUCCAAAGUGUGCACCAGUCCAAGGGUAGAAGGAAUGCUUCCCGUGAGAUUAUUGUCAUGCAAAAGCCUGCACAAAAGUAAUGUAUAUGAUGUAUAUAGAAUUGUAAACCUUUUAAAGAAGCAUAUUAAAUUAAAAGGAAUAUUGUUUUCUUUUAAAUUAAAUUAAAAUCCCACUUCCUAUUUUCUCCCCUAUUCCAUUGGUGAAGUAGUUUGACUUCAACAUCCAAAGCAUAUACAAACUUACACAUGAAUGAGAGUCAUGUCUGAUCUGAAAAGCUCUUUCGGGAUUGUGCCUGAGAACCGAUUCCUUCCUAGAUGACUGAAUAAUUUUCAGACCAGCAUAAACAGAUAUCAUUAAAGCCGAAGCAAGAGAGCACACUAAUCAGCACAAAGAGAUUUGACAUACAAGUGUUUUGCAUUAACUAGCAUAUCAAGACCAGAUGUAGUUCCACUGGAGACAAGGAUGGCUCCAUCAAGCAGAUUAUUGAAUAGAUCCAGCACAAUGAGUUUCGAAAGGUUUCCAAUUGAAUGUGGAAUUGAUCCAGUGAAUCUAUUAGAAUUCAGGUCUCUGCGGGAAAUAGCAAUAGAGAUUAGAGAGUUUCAGAAAACAGUAAAGGUUGCCAAUAGAGCACAUGUUUAGUCCUCAAGAAAACAGUAAAACACUUACAGAGACUCCAGCAGCUGAAGAGACCCUAUCAACUCAGGGAUAGGGCCAUAGAAACUACAACCAGCCAACUUUCUAGAAUGGAAAAAAAGAAAAUUCUGUCAGUUAAUUGGAGGAUUGGUUUCAGUUGACACUAACAUCAUAUUAUUCCCUUACAAGUUUUUUAGCUUCUUCAAAUUCACAAUUGAUGGUGGAAGGGUACCGUUCAACCCCGUGUUGUACGAUAGAUCCCUAUAACCAGACACUGUUAAUGAGCAAGGAAUCCUUGGAAUGGAAAACAAUCACUAUGUUCAUAUAUCAAGAAAAAGGAUGAAAGGAGCUCUGGGAAUGAGGCCUUUUCUCAAUAGGUGCCUCAUGCCUUGAGAUCCGGAUGCUAGAGCAGCCCAGUCUAGACAUCUGGAAAGCCAAAGAGUAUCGUAGCACUACAUCAUUUAUUAUGUGAAGUGAAACUCAAGACUUACAGAACCUCCAAUUCUGACAAGUAGGAGAUGUCUCCAGACAGCUCACCCGUCAAUCCCACAGCUGCCAACGUUCUGCAGUUGAAAAUAGUCAGCUAAUCUCGAAACUUGGAGAGGGAAGAAGGUGCGAGGCUUAAUUAACAUUUGAAGCUGAACAACUGCCUAUAACUUACAUCGAAGUCACACGUGAAUUGUAACAUGAAAUGCCUUCCCAUUUGCCUCCACAGGGAUCUCCACCCACCCAAUUACGUGGUGUGUUUUCCCAGGCAUCCUUGAGAAUACUCAUUACUGUAACUGCAUCAGGAAUGGGGCAGAACAAUAAAAAAAUUCCAUGAUUCAUUCACCAUCAGAGUUGUCUAGUUACAUGGAGUAUGGAGGAUCCAUUAAAGCUAGCAAAGAUCUCUACUAAAUCUAAUCUAGCCUCGAACUUUAAUGAGUGAUUUUUGGCCCAAGUGCAGGCAAUUCAGAAUAUUCAUUCUGCAGUUCAUCUAUAAAGUUAAGAAGACCCUUAAGCACUUGAUUCUGAUUAGCAUAAAAAGCUACAUCCUACAUGAGACAUGGCUCAAAAAAUCUUUGCAGUAAAUGGGGAAUGUUAAUUUAUUGAACUUACAAUCAUCACCAUAGGUCUCUGUAUAAAUCUGAAAGGAAGCAACCAGCAAAAACGUGAGAACUUUAGGACACAUUUCUCAACAAAAUUGCAAAGCUCUUUGUUAUGAAUGUUGCUAACUCCAAAACCCUUAAUAGCAGAAGAAAUGAUAUCUAGAAGUACAACUCUUAAUAUGAUAAAACAUGGAAGGAAGAUCUUUACAUAUCCCCAUCGUUUACUUAUCUCAAGAUUUAUCGUGAAAGGACAUGAAUGGGACAAUUAUGUUCGUAUGAAUCACAUACUAAAUACAAAGACAAUUGACCUCUCAUCUCUAGUCAUUUUCAAGUUUACAGUCAAUAGAAGAACCCACCAAAUGGUUUCUUGCAUGUAGUGUAGAGUGAUACUUGCAGAGUGAAUAGUAUUUCCACAUUUCCUAGAAGUAACAGGGGUCAUGAUUGUCUGCUAAAGUCAUUAUUGAAACCAUAUUUCUAGUGGUUUCUUCAGUGAUACUUAAGAUGCUCUUCGAUUCUGUUUUGUUAUUUUUUCAUAUUUCUAGUUUAACUUGGAUUUUAUGUUGUUUUUUUUUUUUUAUCCUAUUUGAUUUAAGAUUCUGAUUUUUUAACUUUGUAAAAGUCUAUUAUUAAUCUAUUUAAGGAGUUGUAAGCUUCUCGAAGAAACAAAUAUAUUAGAAAAAAAUAAUAUUAAGUAAUAAAACUCGAAUAAUUAAAGACUCUAAUUGUUUGAGACCCUUUUCAGCGAAAUUAUAUCUUUCUUUCUUCUUCCUUUCUUCCUGUCAAAAGUCGAGUUUCUUCUAAAAACUAACCAUCUAAUGCAAGCAACAAUAAUUUUGAUAUUAAUUAAAUAGGGCAGGAGCUCUGAUUCUCAUACGUAUAUUAAUUAAAGUUCACUAAUCUCAAAUAAUUUUCUUCUUAAUUAAGAAAAUAGAAACCGUAAAAGAAGGGAAAGAAAUAGCUGUUCGCUAGUCAUUUAAAUUGACAGAAAUAAAUUUUGGUCGGUCAAGAGAUAAGAGACGAACAAAACUCCACCAGGGAAAGAAUGCUUGCAUCAGUCCCUUGCUGAUUUGCUUGACCAAUCAGCACUUUAACCUGAUUUGUGAGAGGAGUAUAUCCAAGAUCGACGGAGAACGUGUUGCAAAUAUGUUUAUGGACUAUACAGAUAAGGCCAGACUGCAAAAGAAGUUCGUGAAGAAUCAUAAAUAUGAAUGGGGUUUAUUCUAAAUUAUAGCAUUGAAUUGCACUCAAAUUUUACCGAAAGAUUCUACAGUCCCAGCUGUUCCUCAUAGGACUAUAUGAAUCUUCUCAAAUCAGGUCUACUGAACGAAUUGUUGUGUUAUUUUUUUUUGGUUAGAUUAUUAUUACAAGCUUAUAUCUAUUUCUCUACAAUUUGAAGUCUGCAACCUUAGAGUUUGAAAACCUUAAUUUUUAUCUAUGCUAUAUGAUUUGUCAAAGAUUUUAUCAACCUCAACCGUAAUGCAACAAUAAUAUUGGGAAAAAAGUAUUAAAAAUGCCAAUUUGAUUAUUACUUUAUGACUUGCUGCUGCCAUUGUUAUUAACAAGCAGUUGGUUGCUACAGAGACAAAAACUUGUCUAUCUGACAAGAGUAGAAAAUGAAUCAUGAAGAUAUCAGAAUUUCUUCCAAACGAAUCAUUCCUUGUAAUUGCAAACACAUGGGUCCCCUCCUCUCCAUGAAUGCUUACAACAAAUCAUUCUCUUAGACUUGACAGCGCCUGACCUAAUCUUGAUCCGUGGGGAAGACGGCACUGCAGUUUCUCAGAUAAUGCCAACAAUAAGGACAGUACACAAGAAAGGUAAACCCAAGAAACCAGAGAUUUAACUGCACUCCUCAUUAACAGUAUCAUAAAAGGCAAAAAGGUCGUGAAGAAAAUGAAAAUAGCGAGCUCAGUAUGCUACAAAGUGCAAACAACACAAGAAAAUGGCAACUCGUACUCUCAGGUAAGAAGUAUCACUGAAACAUUUGCCAAGCCAAGCUCAUACCAAGGAUUCUGAGCUCACUCAUAUAUAGUGGCUCUACCUUUGAAACUGGGAAGUCCCCUCUGUAAUCAAAGGCAUCCCUUGCUUGCAUCGUCAUAGUUGUUUGCUAGUCAUUUAAAUUGACAGUAAUAAAUUUUUGUCAGUCAAGAGAUUAGAGCCAAAGAAAACUCAACAAAAUAUUUGAACUCACUCGUGGAAAGAAUGCUUGCAUCAGUCCCGCGGUGAUUUGCUUGACCAAUCAGAAUUUUUACCUGAUUUGUUAGUCAGAGGAAUAUAUAUAUCCUAGAUUGAUGGGAGUAACUGGUUGCAAAUAUGUUUAUAGAACAAAUAGAUAAGGUUAGAUAUAAAUACAUAUCACCUCACAAUACGGAUAGAAAAAAUAUAUAUGUGAUUUUGUUUGUUUUCGUAGAUUUUCUGGUAGUAAAAUUAUGCAUUAGUUAAAGGAUCCAUGAACCUUGUCAUAAUCCAAUUUUUUACUUAUUUAUUUAAUUUUUUUUGUGUUAUUUAUUUAUUUAUUGAUUUUUACAAUAUUUCCUAAAAAAAUAAAAAAAUUAUUGAUGAAAAACAAAUAAAAAGUUAAAUAAAUGAAGAGUGAAUUAAAAUGUAGGUUAAGGCAACAUGAUUGGAAGUUUAGAGAGAUUAAUUAAACUCUUGACUACUUUAAUUAAUAAAUCAAGGGCUUAAUUGAAGAAUUGAGAGACUUAAUUAAGUUGAGAAUUAAUUAAAUUAAUCAAAUCAAGGGCUUAAUUGGAGAAUUGAUAAGUUUUGAGACUUAAUGGAGCUUAGGAUUAAUUUAAUUAAUGAAAUCAAAGGCUUAAUUGAAGAAAUAUCAAAGUUUGGGGUUAAUUGGGGUCAAAAGUGCAACAUAUUAAAGUCCAAGGACUAGCUUGUAAAAGGCACCGAAAUGCAAGUAUCCAAUUACAUUUUAACCAGGGGCUUGAUUGCAACAUUACAAGAAUUCCAAGGACCACAUUUAAAGCAGCCUUUGGAAUUGGAAAACGAAGUCGUUUUGGCAAGCGACUGUUCGUCGUCUUCUUCCUCGGUAACGGCUCCGGCAUUAAAGGCAGAGACGUUUCUCCAUUGAAUGCAGCACCCCACGGCCAUUACUGCCGGCCGUUACCAGCGCCGAUCGAUCUCUGACUCUAUAAAAAGCCGGGUAAAGGCAACCUCGCGAGAGGGGGGAAGACUGAGAGAGAGGAGGCAGAACAGAAACGAAAGGGGAGGAGAAACAGAACCAGGGCAAAGUUUUGGUCCAUUCAACCAGCAGCACCUCGUGCUUUUACCACAACCGUCUUCUUCCUGAACGGAGAAGACUGGACAGAGCAACAGAAGAGGGAGAACAGAGGGGGAAGGAAGAGGACCGAACGGACAGAACAGGCGAGAGCUAGAGAGAGACGGACAUGGACAGAGGAAGCCAGUAAAGGGAAGGAAUUAAAGACAGAGGAACACAAAAAAAAAAACAGCAAAAAGUAAAGGAAAACGAGAAUCAGAGACAUAGUAAAGCAGAGGAGAGGAGAACAGCCGACCACCACGCUUCAGUUAUCAUCUCCGUUCCUGCGUUGAGGUAAGCCCCGCUUCUUUUGCAUUUUAAUUCACUGCUACAGUAGGAAUUACAAUUCACUGCUACAGUACAGCGAAUUAUAAUUCGCUUGCUACUGUAGCAAGUCCAGCCGGGUCACUGGUCACCAGUGACCCGGCCGAGUCAGCUGGAUCAAGUUCAGCUCACAAGUGACCCGGUCGAGUCAGCUGGGUCAAGUUCAGCUCACAUGGGCUGAGCUGAACCAGCCCAAAAAAUAUAAAAAUAUAAAUAAAAAAGAUAAAUAAAAAAAAAAAAAAAUAGAAAUAGAAAUUGUGCAUGCAUUAGAAAUAAGAAAAUAAAAUGUGUUUUUAUUCACUAAUGCCAGAAUAAAAAAAAAAUUUAUUAUUUUUUUUAGCUAAGAAUUAUACUUAACAACACAAAAGUUGAGAUUAUUCAUAGUAGAAUAUUUACCAACGCUAGAGUUGAAAUUAUUCGUAUUAGAAUUUUUACCAAAGCCAAACUUUGAAUUAUUUCAUAAUGAAAUAUUUACCAACACCAGAAUUGAAAAUAUAUGUAAUUAAAUAUUCACUGAUGCUAGAAUCAUGAAUAUUACUGGUGAACCGUCAUAACACAAAUCAACAAAAAAUUUAGCAAUUUAAAACAAGACUAGCAAUGCAGCUUACCUUAGGUAGAGUGCGCUAGGGGUGCUAAUACCUUCUCUAGUCACGACCCGAAUCCCGGAUCCAUGACCGACACAUAGGCAAGGUUCCCCUCCAAGGUUCCAUAUCUAUGCGAACCCAAACUUACACACAAACUUAUCCUAACUUAAUCAGAGUUCAACACAGCAUUAAUAACAAAAUCAACUUCAUAAUAUAAUUGAAUUGUCUUAAUACAAGAGUUAAUAUAAUUCAUAGUUUUGGAGCACUAAUUUGACAUAAAAGGAAGGUACAAAUUACAACCAAAAAGCAGGUUCGGAAGGUUCAACAAAAGUAACAUGCUAUCAAGCUAUAAGCCUGAAAAGAAUAAUAAUGAGAGGGUGAGUUCAACAACUCAGUGAGUAGAUAACGUUCAAUAUACACACACGAGGUAAUAAAACAAUGAGAAAUAUAUAUACAAGUAUGACUUUAGGUUCUUAUGGAAAUGUUUUUCAAAUUGGCCAUAACAAGAAUGUCAUAUGGUAAAACUCGUCAGAAAAUCAAAAUGCAAUGAGCAUGAAGUAUGACUUUAGGUUCUUAUGGAAAUGUUUCUCAAAUUGGCCAUAACAAGAAUGUCAUAUGGUAAAACUCGUCAAAAAAUCAACAUGCAAUGAGCAUGAGGCUCCGUACUGUGGGAUGAUCAGUCCACACAGGUUGGUGACUCCCCCAACCAACUAGGGUUCAGAUACGAUGUGCACAAAGACUAACACUACCUUGUUAGCAUGGGUAUUCUGACUGACAUACCAUAGGUUCAUAAUCAUAAUCAUAAUCAAACAGACAUAUUCAUAUCUUAAGGCUCAACUCAUGACAUCAAUCAAAUGAGGAGCUAUCAAUUCAGAAGUCAAUUCAAAAUAUAUACUGGUUCAUAUCAAGAAUUCAGAUUCAACAAUUGAUCAUGCUUUAUCAUAACAAGGAUAAUAAUCAACAUAUAUAUUAUCAAGAAGCAUGAUCCAAUUCAUAUUAACAAAUCAAAUAUUUAUAAUAUUUCUCAUGCAUAUGGAAAAUUAUCCACUCACUUGACUCGAAAGCAACAAAACUCAAAGCUGAUAUCGAAGGAAAUCCUACUGACGUCCCGCCGGUAAAAUAUCAGGAUUAUCUGAAUACAAAUGAGACAUAUUCAAGAAUGACUCAAAAAAACAUAUAACCUAUUUAAUACACUUAUCUAAAGGUGUAUUCCAUAACUGUCACGACCCGAAUCCCGGAUUCAUGACCGGCACAUAGGCAAGGUUCCCCUCCAAGGUUCCAUACCUAUGCGAACCCAAACUUACACACAAACUUAUCCUAACUCAAUCAGAGUUCAACGCAACAUUAAUAACAAAAUCAACUUCAUAAUAAUUGAAUUGUCUUAAUACAAGAGUUUAUAUAAGUUCAGAGUUUUGGAGCACUAACUAAACAUAAAGGAGAGAUACAAAGUACAACCAAAGAGCAGAUUCUGAAGGUCCAACAAAAUGACCUGCUAUCAAGCUAUAAGCCUGAAAAGGAUAAAUAAUGAGAUGGUGAGUUCAACAACUCAGUGAGUAGAUAACGUUCAAUAUACACACACGAGGUAAUACAGCAAUGAGAAAUAUAUAUACAAGUAUGGCUCUAGGUUCUUAUAGAAAGGUUUCUCAAAUAGGCCAUAACAAGAAUAUCAUAUGGUAAAACUCGUCAGAAAAUCAAAAUGCAAUGAGCAUGAGGCUCCGUACUGUGGGAUGAUCAGUCCACACAGGUUGGUGACUCCCCCGACCAACUAGGGUUCAGAUACGAUGUGCACAAAGACUAACACUACCCUGUUAGCAUGGGUAUUCUGACUGACAUACCAUAGGUUCAUAAUCAUAAUCAAACAGACAUAUUCAUAUCUCAAGGCUCAACUCAUGACAUCAAUCAAAUGAGGAGCUAUCAAUUCAGAAUUCAAUUCAAAAUAUAUACUGGUUCAUAUCAAGAAUUCGGAUUCAACAAUUGAUCAUGCUUUAUCAAAACAAGGAUAAUAAUCAAC
rnacentral:lncRNA from 1 species